UUACUUCCCAUCUAUGCCGAACAAUGUACCAAAAAGUGCCUCGGUGAUAUUCUUCUCAGUGUGCAUCACGUCGAUGUUGUGUGGGCAAAGGAGGUCUUUGAAGUAAGGCAGAUCCCAUAAGCAUGUUUUGUGAGUCCACGCGUGCUUAGUAUUAUACCCCUUGAAGUACCCUAGACAUUGUGGAUCUGGCUCGAGAGCGUUUAACUGAUCCAGGGUCUGUUGGCCUGUCAAUGCAGGUGGUGCAGAGUUUUUGACAACUCUACCCCUGAUGAAGUUCUUCUUGUCUUUCGUGAACUUAUGGCGAGGAUCCAGGAACUGUCUAUGCAUGUCGAAGCAAGAAAACUUGCGACUGGCCUGAAGCCAACGAAACUCAAGAGCUCCCUUGCAUGUGGGGCACGGGAACCUUCCAUGCACACACCAGCCAACGAAUAGCGCAUACGCCGGCAAGUCAUGCGUCAAGUACAUGUACCAGACACGCAUUAUGAAGUUCCGUUUGCUAAAGGCGUCGUAUGUCUUGAACCCAUUACCCCAGGCUUCUUGCAAUUCGUCCUUAAGCGGCUGCAUGUACACAUUCAUAUUUUUGCCCGGAUAGUUGGGUCCUGGAAUUAUCAACAUCAGGAAAAUGUUCUUUCUUUGCAUAAUCUGUCCGGGGGGGAGAUUGAGUGGAAAGACAAAUAUGGGCCAACAACUGUAUUGGGUUGCCAUCAUACCAAACACAUUGAACCCAUCCGUGCUGAUGCCGACUCGAGGAUGCCUCGGAUAUGCCGCUUUGUCAGCAUGUAAUUCAUCAAACUUUUUCCAUGCAACACCAUCCGAUGUGUGUACCAUCAUCAGAUUCCCAUCUGCAUCUAGUUCGGUUCUUUUGCCUGUUUUGUGCCAUGUCAUCUGUCUGGCCGUAUCUUCGACCAUGAAAAGACGUUGAAGUCUUGGUACGAUUGGCAUAUACCGAAGAACACUAAUGGGGAUUUUGGUCUGUGUCUUCUCACCCAUACCGUUGUCUACCACAAUAUACCUGGAAGACUUGCAAAUGGGACAAUAGUUCAAGUCCGCAUAGUCAAGCCUAAAUAAGGCACAUCCUUUCUCACAGGCAUGUAUCUUCUCAUAGGGCAUCUUCAGUGCACGGAGGAUUUUGUCCGACUGGUACAGGUUUGCAGGCAUUACAUGGCCUUUGGGUAGAAAGCGUCCAAAUACUGUCAUAAUUGCGUCAUAGCAUUCUCUGCCCAAGUUGAACUGAGCCUUCAGAACCAUUACUUGUGAGAUGGCAUCCAACUGACAAAGCUCAGUGUGCUCGUGGAGCGGACGUUUUGAAGACUCCAACAUUUCAUUGAAGGCCUUUGCAGAUUCCUCCAUCUCCUCGUCCGAAUCCCGAGCAUCAUCAUAGCCUUGCACCAUGUUUUCCAUCCCGGUACCAUGCUCGUCGGUGCGACGACGAUCCACCUCAGCUCGGUCACGUUGGGCAGACUCACCAUGAAAUGUCCACACCGUAUAAUCGGGCGUAAAACCACUCUUCUGCAGGUGUUUGCCCAUUUCAGCCUCUGUCUUCUUUUCCCAAUUGCCGCACCGGAAACAGGGGCACCGGGUUUUCUUUUGGCCAUUUGCAAAUGCGGCUUGCACAAACCCCUUAGUUUUUGUGAACCAUUCAGCGCUCCAUUUGUUCUGACCAGUGUGACCGGUAUACAUCCAAGCACGGUCACUCAUCUUGACUUUCAGAGCUACUAGACACACAACAAUUAUAUAUGUAAUUCACCAUGUAUAUAUAUUCAUCAGUUGAUCUACUUUGUCAAUUUUAUUACGUCCAUGCAACCUACACUCUAAUAGGUAAUGAUAGGUCCUAAUCCCACCCGUGUAUGUGUAGAUUGGGUUCAUUUUCCCAUGCUAUGCUCCGGAUCCGACGCAAAAUUUCGGCAGCACCUCCCCGCUGUUCUCCUGAUACACGUCUCUGCAAUAAACAGAGAGGAUGUGUACCCGGAGAACAACAGGGGAGGCACUGACGAAAUAUAUGCGUCGUAUCCGGAGCAAAGCAUAUGGGAAAACGAACCCAAUCUACACAUACUCGGGUUGUCCAUGGAUAGCGUUGGACAAUUCGAAAGAAUCAAGGUUAUAAAUAUGCAAAUGCAUGCAUAUUUAUAACUAUGACGCUUUCGAACGGGAGACACAUAUUGGUUACGCAUACUGAUGAUUCAAGACACAUAUAUAGCUAGCUAUCAAGUUUCAUGGUAAUACAUCAAAUAAUUAAUGGGGGAGGAGGACUUGUCAUUUGUGCUCACCCACGAACGAAGGGGCAGAGCUCGUCAAACGCACGGCGAGGUCGUCGAACACCAAACCUCGCAGCGAUGAAACAACUGCACAUUUAAAACUACACGAUCAACACAAUUAUAUAUGAUAUUUUUCAUAACAAAAUCGAAAAAUAUAUGACCUAACUAAUAAUUCACAAAUAUAUGACCCCGUCGGCCUCUGGAAGGCCAAAAAACACCUUUUCGGGAGGUGUCGGUGGUCGGGGUGUCCUGUCGGUGUCGGGGUGCCGUGUCGGGGUUGGNNNNNNNNNNNNNNNNNNNNNNNNNNNNNNNNNNNNNNNNNNNNNNNNNNNNNNNNNNNNNNNNNNNNNNNNNNNNNNNNNNNNNNNNNNNNNNNNNNNNNNNNNNNNNNNNNNNNNNNNNNNNNNNNNNNNNNNNNNNNNNNNNNNNNNNNNNNNNNNNNNNNNNNNNNNNNNNNNNNNNNNNNNNNNNNNNNNNNNNNNNNNNNNNNNNNNNNNNNNNNNNNNNNNNNNNNNNNNNNNNNNNNNNNNNNNNNNNNNNNNNNNNNNNNNNNNNNNNNNNNNNNNNNNNNNNNNNNNNNNNNNNNNNNNNNNNNNNNNNNNNNNNNNNNNNNNNNNNNNNNNNNNNNNNNNNNNNNNNNNNNNNNNNNNNNNNNNNNNNNNNNNNNNNNNNNNNNNNNNNNNNNNNNNNNNNNNNNNNNNNNNNNNNNNNNNNNNNNNNNNNNNNNNNNNNNNNNNNNNNNNNNNNNNNNNNNNNNNNNNNNNNNNNNNNNNNNNNNNNNNNNNNNNNNNNNNNNNNNNNNNNNNNNNNNNNNNNNNNNNNNNNNNNNNNNNNNNNNNNNNNNNNNNNNNNNNNNNNNNNNNNNNNNNNNNNNNNNNNNNNNNNNNNNNNNNNNNNNNNNNNNNNNNNNNNNNNNNNNNNNNNNNNNNNNNNNNNNNNNNNNNNNNNNNNNNNNNNNNNNNNNNNNNNNNNNNNNNNNNNNNNNNNNNNNNNNNNNNNNNNNNNNNNNNNNNNNNNNNNNNNNNNNNNNNNNNNNNNNNNNNNNNNNNNNNNNNNNNNNNNNNNNNNNNNNNNNNNNNNNNNNNNNNNNNNNNNNNNNNNNNNNNNNNNNNNNNNNNNNNNNNNNNNNNNNNNNNNNNNNNNNNNNNNNNNNNNNNNNNNNNNNNNNNNNNNNNNNNNNNNNNNNNNNNNNNNNNNNNNNNNNNNNNNNNNNNNNNNNNNNNNNNNNNNNNNNNNNNNNNNNNNNNNNNGGCGGCGGCGGGGUGGUGCGACGGGGCGGUGGCGAGAGGUGGGAGAGAAAGAGAGAGAGAGGGGGGGUGUGGGGCGCGGCCGUUAACGUUACGUGGGGCCCUCCCUCUUUGCCGUCCGCCACCCUUUGCCAUCCGCCUUCUUGCUCUUUGCCGUCCGCUAGCGGACGGCAAAGAGGGGGGCCGUUAGGUUUUUUUGCAGCUCGUCAGUGGGGCCCCUCCCUCUUUGCCGUCCGCUAGCCGACGGCAAAGAAUCAAAGAACUGGCUGAUGGCAAAUUUGGUCUUUGCCAUCAGCCAGUUCUUUGUCGUCUGCUUUUUGGAAGCUGAUGGCAAAGAGCUUCUUUGCCGUCUGCUAGCGGACGGCAAAGAACUGGCAGAUGGCAAAGUAGCUGAUUCCAGUAGUCCCUGUUUCGAGUUGCAAAUAUUAGCAAUAGAACCAGUAUCAAAUACCCAGGUGCUACUGCGAGCAUUGGUAAGGUACACAUCAAUAACAUGUAUAUCACAUAUACCUUUGUUCACCUUGCCAUCCUUCUUAUCCGCCAAAUACUUGGGGCAGUUCCGCUUCCAGUGACCAGUCUGCUUGCAAUAGAAGCACUCAGUUUCAAGCUUAGGUCCAGGUUUGGGUUUCUUCUCUUGAGUAGCAACUUGCUUGCCGUUCUUUUUGAAGUUCCCCUUCUUCUUCCCUUUGCCCUUUUUCUUGAAACUAGUGGUCUUGUUGACCAUCAACACUUGAUGCUCCUUCUUGAUUUCUACCUCCGCAGCUUUUAGCAUCGCGAAGAGCUCGGGAAUAGUCUUGUUCAUCCCUUGCAUAUUAUAGUUCAUCACGAAGCUCUUGUAGCUUGGUGGCAGUGAUUGGAGAAUUCUGUCAAUGACGCAAUCAUCUGGAAGAUUAACUCCCAAUUGAAUCAAGUGAUUAUUAUACCCAGACAUUUUGAGUAUAUGCUCACUGACAGAACUGUUCUCCUCCAUCUUGCAGCUAUAGAACUUAUUGGAGACUUCAUAUCUCUCAAUCCGGGCAUUUGCUUGAAAUAUUAACUUCAACUCUUGGAACAUCUCAUAUGCUCCAUGAUGUUCAAAACGUCGUUGAAGUCCCGAUUCUAAGCCGUAAAGCAUGGCACACUGAACUAUCGAGUAGUCAUCAGCUUUGCUCUGCCAGACGUUCAUAACAUCCAGCGUUGCUCCUGCAGCAGUCCUAGCACCUAGCGGUGCUUCCAGGACGUAAUUCUUCUGUGCAGCAAUGAGGAUAAUCCUCAAGUUACGGACCCAGUCCGUGUAAUUGCUACCAUCAUCUUUCAACUUUGCUUUCUCAAGGAACGCAUUAAAAUUCAACGGAACAACAGCAUGAGCCAUCUAUCUACAAACAAGCAUAAACGAGCAAGAUACUUAUCAGGUACUAAGUUUCAUGAUAAAUUUAAGUUCAGUUAAUUUACUUAAAGAACUCCCACUUAGAUAGACAUCCCUCUAAUCCUCUAAGUAAUUACGUGAUCCAAAUCAACUAAACCAUGUCCGAUCAUCACAUGAGAUGGAGUAGUUUCAUUAGUGAACAUCAUUAUGUUGAUCAUAUCUACUAUAUGAUUCACGCUCGACCUUUCGGUCUCCGUGUUCCGAGGCCAUAUCUGUAUAUGCUUGGCUCGUCAAGUAUAACCUGAGUAUUCCGCGUGUGCAACUGUUUUGCACCCGUUGUAUUUGAACGUAGAACCUAUCACACCCGAUCAUCACGUGGUGUCUCAGCACGAAGAACUUUCGCAACGAUGCAUACUCAGGGAGAACACUUCUUGAUAAUUAGUGAGAGAUCAUCUUAUAAUGCUACCGUCAAUCAAAGCAAGAUAAGAUGCAUAAAAGAUAAACAUCACAUGCAAUCAUUAUAAGUGAUAUGAUAUGGCCAUCAUCAUCUUGUGCUUGUGAUCUCCAUCUUCGAAGCACCGUCAUGAUCACCAUCGUCACCGGCGUGCCACCUUGAUCUCCAUCGUAGCAUCGUUGUCGCCUCGCAAAGCUUGUGCUUCCACGACUAUUGCUACCGUUUAGCGAUAAAGUAAAGCAUUACAUCGCGGUUUCAUUGCAUACAAUAAAGCGACAACCAUAUGGCUCCUGCCAGUUGCCGAUAACUCGGUUACAAAACAUGAUCAUCUCAUACAAUAAAAUUCAGCAUCAUGUCUUGACCAUAUCACAUCACAACAUGCCCUGCAAAAACAAGUUAGACGUCCUCUACUUUGUUGUUGCAAGUUUUACGUGGCUGCUACGGGCUUAAGUAAGAACCAAUCUCACCUACGCAUCAAAACCACAACGAUAGUUUGUCAAUUUGACUUCGUUUUAACCUUCGCAAGGACCGGGCGUAGCCACACUUGGUUCAACUAAAGUUGGAGAAACUGUCACCCACAAGCCACCUCUGUGCAAAGCACGUCGGGAGAACCGGUCUCGCGUAAGCGUACGCGUAAUGUCGGUCUGGGCCGCUUCAUCCAACAAUACCGCCGAACCAAAGUAUGACAUGCUGGUAGGCAGUAUGACUUAUAUCGCCCACAACUCACUUGUGUUCUACUCGUGCAUAUAACAUCAACAUAUAAAACCAGGCUCUGAUACCACUGUUGGGGAACGUAGUAAUUUCAAAAAAAUUCCUACGCACACGCAAGAUCAUGUGAUGCAUAGCAACGAGAGGGGGGAGUGUGAUCUACAUACCUAGUAGAUCGACAACGAAAGUGUUUGGUUGAUGUAGUCGUACGUCUUCACGAUCCGACCGAUCAAGCACCGAAACUACGGCACCUCCGAGUUCUAGCACACGUUCAGCUCGAUGACGAUCCCCGGACUCCGAUCCAGCAAAGUGUCAGGGAAGAGUUCCGUCAGCACGAUGGCGUGGUGACGAUCUUGAUGCACUACAGUAGCAGGGCUUCGCCUAAACUUCGCUAUAGUAUUAUCGAGGACUAUGGUGGCUGGGGGCGCCGCACACGGCUAAGGAAAAGAUCACGUGGAUCAACUUGUGUGUCUCUAGGGUGCCUCUGCCUCAGUAUAUAAAGGACCAAAGGGGGGAGGCGGCCGGCCAAGGAGGGCGUGCCAGGAGAGUCCUACUCCCUCUGGGAGUAGGAUUCCCCCCCCCCCCAAUCCUAGUUGGAAUAGGAUUCGCGGAGGGGGGAAAAGAGAGAGAGGGGCCGGCCCCCUCUCCUUGUCCAAUUCGGACCAAGGGAGGGGAGGGGCGCGCGGCCCACUAUGGGAUGCCUCUUCUCUUUUCCACCAAGGCCCAUUAAGGCCCAUCUAGCUCCCCGGGGGGUUCCGGUAACCUCCCGGUACUCCGGUAAAAUCCCGAUUUCACCCGGAACACUUCCGAUAUCCAAACAUAGGCUUCCAAUAUAUCAAUCUUUAUGUCUCGACCAUUUCAAGACUCCUCGUCAUGUCCGUGAUCACAUCCGGGACUCCGAACAACCUUCAGUACAUCAAAAUGCAUAAACUCAUAAUAUAACUGUCAUCGUAACCUUAAGCGUGCGGACCCUACGGGUUCGAGAACAAUGUAGACAUGACUGAGACACGUCUCCGGUCAAUAACCAAUAGCGGGACCUGGAUGCCCAUAUUGGCUCCUACAUAUUCUACGAAGAUCUUUAUCAGUCAGACCGCAUAACAACAUACGUCGUUCCCUUUGUCAUCGGUAUGUUACUUGCCCGAGAUUCGAUCGUCGGUAUCCAAUACCUAGUUCAAUCUCGUUACCGGCAAGUCUCUUUACUCGUUCCGUAAUACAUCAUCUCACAACUAACAUAUUAGUUGUAAUGCUUGCAAGGCUUAUGUGAUGUGCAUUACCGAGAGGGCCCAGAGAUACCUUUCCAACAAUCGGAGUGACAAAUCCUAAUCUCGAAAUACGCCAACCCAACAUGUACCUUUGGAGACACCUGUAAUGCUCCUUUAUAAUCACCCAGUUACGUUGUGACGUUUGGUAGCACCCAAAGUGUUCCUCCGGCAAACGGGAGUUGCAUAAUCUCAUAGUCAUAGGAACAUGUAUAAGUCAUGAAGAAAGCAAUAGCAACAUACUAAACGAUCAGGUGCUAAGCUAAUGGAAUGGGUCAUGUCAAUCAGAUCAUUCUCUUAAUGAUGUGAUCCCGUUAAUCAAAUAACAACUCAUUGUUCAUGGUUAGGAAACAUAACCAUCUUUGAUUAACGAGCUAGUCAAGUAGAGGCAUAUUAGUGACACUCUGUUUGUCUAUGUAUUCACACAUGUAUUAUGUUUCCGGUUAAUACAAUUCUAGCAUGAAUAAUAAACAUUUAUCAUGAUAUAAGGAAAUAAAUAAUAACUUUAUUAUUGCCUCUAGGGCAUAUUUCCUUCAGCCAUCGCUUCUUCAUAGUUCGAAGGUUCACCAUUGCCUAACAACAUGAUUUCCAGGACAGGGUUGUCGUACCACUCUGGUGCGGAAUGUGUCCUUGUGGACCUACGAAGUUCAGUAGCAACUUGAUCUGAAGUUUCAUGAUCAUCAUCAUUAACUUCCUCUCUAGUCGGUGCAGGCACCACAAAAACAUUUUCUUGAGUUGCGCUACUCUCCGGUUCAAGAGGCAAUACUUCAUCAAGUUCUACUUUCCUCCCACUUACUUCUUUCGAGAGAAACUCUUUCUCUAGAAAGGAUCCAUUCUUGGCAACAAAUAUUUUGCCUUCAGAUCUGAGGUAGAAGGUAUACCCAAUAGUUUCCUUAGGGUAUCCUAUGAAGACGCAUUUUUCCGAUUCGGGUUCGAGAUUUCCAGGUUGAAGUUUCUUGACAUAAGCAUCGCAUCCCCAAACUUUCAGAAACGACAGCUUAGGUUUCUUCCCAAACCACAAUUCAUACGGUGUCGUCUCAACGGAUUUUGACGGAGCCCUAUUUAAAGUGAAUGCGGCAGUCUCUAUAGCAUAACCCCAAAAUGAUAGCGGUAGAUCGUUAAGAGACAUCAUAUAUCGCACCAUAUCCAAUAGAGUGCGAUUACAAUGUUCGGACACACCAUUACACUGAGGUGUUCUAGGCGGCGUGAGUUGUGAAACAAUUCCACAUUUCCUUAAGUCCGUGCCAAAUUCGUGACUCAAAUAUUCUCCCCCACGAUCUGAUCGUAAGAACUUAAUUUUCCUGUCACGUUGAUUCUCAACCUCACUCUGAAAUUUCUUGAACUUUUGAAAGGUCUCAGACUUGUGUUUCAUUAAGUAGACAUACCCAUAUCUACUUAAGUCAUCCGUGAGGGUGAGAACAUAGCGAUAACCACCGCGAGCCUCAAUGCUCAUUGGACCGCACACAUCAGUAUGUAUGAUUUCCAAUAAGUUGGUUGCUCGCUCCAUUAUUUCGGAGAACGGGGUCUUGGUCAUUUUGCCCAUGAGGCAUGGUUCGCAUGUGUCAAAUGAAUUAUAAUCAAGAGACUCCAAAAGUCCAUCUGCAUGGAGUUUCUUCAUGCGUUUGACACCAAUGUGACCAAGGCGGCAGUGCCACAAGUAUGUCGGACUAUCAUUAUCAACCUUGCAUCUUUUGGCAUUCACACUAUGAAUAUGUAUAACAUCACGUUCGAGAUUAAAUAAGAAUAAACCAUUGACUAGCGGGGCAUGACCAUAAAACAUGUCUCUCAUAUAAGUAGAACAACCAUUAUUCUCAGAUUUAAAUGACUAGCCAUCUCGCAUUAAACAAGAUCCAGACACAAUGUUCAUGCUCAAAGCUGGUACUAAAUAACAAUUAUUGAGGUUUAAAACUAAUCCCGUAGGUAAAUGUAGAGGUAGCAUGCCGACGGCGAUCACAUCGACCUUGAAACCAUUCCCGACGCGCAUCAUCACCUUGUCCUUCGCCAGUCUCCGCUUAUUCCGCAGCUCCUGUUUUGAGUUACAAAUAUGAGCAACCGCACCGGUAUCAAAUACCCAGGAGCUACUACGAGCGCUGGUUAGGUACACAUCAAUAACAUGUAUAUCACAUAUACCUUUGGUAUUGCCGGCCUUCUUAUCCUCUAAGUACUUGGGACAGUUCCGCCUCCAGUGACCGUUUCCCUUGCAAUAAAAGCACUCAGUCUCAGGCUUGGGUCCAUGCUUUGGCUUCUUCCCGGCAACUGGCUUACCGGGCGCGGCAACUCCCUUGCCAUCCUUCUUGAAGUUCUUCUUACCCUUGCCUUUCUUGAACUUAGUGGUUUUAUUCACCAUCAACACUUGAUGUUCCUUUUUGAUCUCCACCUCUGCUGAUUUCAGCAUUGAAUAUACCUCAAGAAUGGUCUUUUCCAUCCCCUGCAUAUUGAAGUUCAUCACAAAGCUCUUGUAGCUAGGUGGGAGCGACUGAAGGAUUCUGUCAAUGAUCGCAUCAUCCGGAUAUUAACUCCCAACUGAGAUAAGCGGUUGUGCAACCCAGACAUUUUGAGUAUGUGCUCGCUGACAGAACUAUUCUCCUCCAUCUUACAACUAUAAAACUUGUCAAAGACUUCAUAUCUCUCGACCCGGGCAUGAGCUUGGAAACCCAUUUUUAGCUCUUGGAACAUCUCAUAUGCUCCGUGCUGCUCAAAAUGCUUUUGGAUCCCCGGUUCUAAGUUGUAAAGCAUGCCGCACUGAACCAGGGAGUAAUCAUCACUACGCGACUGCCAGGCAUUCAUAACGUCUUGAGUUGCUGGGAAAACAGGUGCAUCACCUAGCGGUGCUUCAAGGACAUAUGCUUUCUUGGCAGCUAUGAGGAUAAUCCUCAGGUUACGGACCCAGUCCGUGUAGUUGCUACCAUCAUCUUUCAGCUUGGUUUUCUCUAGGAACGCGUUGAAGUUGAGGGCAACAUUAGCGUGGGCCAUUUGAUCUACAAGACAUAUUGCAAAGUUUUUAGACUAUGUUCAUGAUAAUUAAGUUCAUAUAAUCAAAUUAUUUAAUGAACUCCCACUCAGAUAGACAUCCCUCUAGUCAUCUCAGUGAUACAUGAUCCGAGUCAACUAGGCCGUGUCUGAUCAUCACGUGAGACGGACUAGUCAUCAUCGGUGAACAUCUUCGUGUUGAUCGUAUCUUCUAUACGACUCAUGUUUGACCUUUCGGUCUUCCGUGUUCCGAGGCCAUGUCUGUACAUGCUAGGCUUGUCAAGUCAACCUAAGUGUAUUGCGUGAGUAAAUCUGGCUUACACCCAUUGUAUUCGAACGUUAGAAUCUAUCACACCUGAUCAUCAUGUGGUGCUUCGAAACAACGAACCUUCGCAACGGAGCACAGUUAGGGGGAACACUUUCUUGAAAUUAUUGCGAGGGAUCAUCUUAUUUAAGCUACCAUCGUUCUAAGCAAAUAAGAUGUAAAACAUGAUAAACAUCACAUGCAAUCAAAUAGUGACAUGAUAUGGCCAAUGUCAUUUUGCUCCUUUUGAUCUCCAGCUUCGGGGCGCCAUGAUCAUCAUCGUCACCGGCAUGACACCAUGAUCUCCAUCAUCAUGAUCUCCAUCAUCGUGUCUUCAUGAAGUUGUCUCGCCAACUAUUACUUCUACUACUAUGGCUAACGGUUAGCAAUAAAGUAAAGUAAUUACAUGGCGUUUUCAUUGACACGUAGGUCAUACAAUAAAUUAAGACAACUCCUAUGGCUCCUGCUGGUUGUCAUGCUCAUCGACAUGUAAGUCGUGAUUCCUAUUACAAGAACAUGAUCAAUCUCAUACAUCACAUAUAUCAUUCAUCACAUCAUUUUGGCCAUAUCACAUCACACGGAAUAUGCUGCAAGAACAAGUUAGACGUCCUCUAAUUGCUGUUGCAAAUUUUACGUGGCUGCUAUAGGUUUCUAGCAAGAACGUUUCUUACCUACGCCAAAACCACAAUGUGAUAUGCCAAUUUCUAUUUACCCUUCAUAAGGACCCUUUUCAUCGAAUCCGAUCUGAAAGUGGGAGAGACAGACACCCGCUAGCCACCUUAUGCAACUAGUGCAUGUCAUUCGGUGGAACCUGUCUCACGUAAGUGUACGUGUAAUGUCGGUCCGGGCCGCUUCAUCCCACGAUGCCGCCGAAUCAAGAUAAGACUAGUAACGGCAAGUAAAUUGACAAAAUCGACACCCAUAACAACUUGUGUUCUACUCAUGCAUAGAAACUACGCAUAGACCUAGCUCAUGAUGUCACUGUUGGGGAUCGUUGCAGAAAUUAAAAUUUUCUACGCAUCACCAAGAUCAAUCUAUGGAGUUUACUAGAAACGAGAGGGGAGUGCAUCUUCAUACCUUUGAAGAUCGCGAUGCGAAAGCGUUACAAGAACGCGGAUGAAGGAGUCGUACUCGUAGUGACUCAGAUCAUGGUUGAUUCGAUCUAAGCGUCGAACGACGGCGCCUCCGUGUUCAACACACGUACGGCCCGGGGACGUCUCCCACGCCUUGAUCUAGCAAGGAGAGAGGGAGAGGUUGGGGAAGACUCCGUCUAGCAAUAGCACGACGGCGUGGUGGUGUUGGAGCAGUGUGGUACUCCGGCAUGGCUUCGCCAAGCAUCGCGGGAGGAAGAGGAGGUGUUGGGGAGGGGAGGGCUGCGCCGUGAGAAGGGGUGUGGUUGCCCUCCCACCCCCCACUAUUUAUAGGGGAAAGGGGAGAGGGGGCUGGCCCCCUAGAUCCAUCUAGAGGGGGCGGCCCCCGGGGCGGCNNNNNNNNNNNNNNNNNNNNNNNNNNNNNNNNNNNNNNNNNNNNNNNNNNNNNNNNNNNNNNNNNNNNNNNNNNNNNNNNNNNNNNNNNNNNNNNNNNNNNNNNNNNNNNNNNNNNNNNNNNNNNNNNNNNNNNNNNNNNNNNNNNNNNNNNNNNNNNNNNNNNNNNNNNNNNNNNNNNNNNNNNNNNNNNNNNNNNNNNNNNNNNNNNNNNNNNNNNNNNNNNNNNNCGCCCCCCUUAGGGUUUCCAACUAGGGGGGCGCCCGCCCCCGGGGGGCAGUGCCCCCCUAGGGUCUCCAACCCUAGGUGCCUUGGGCCCUUGGGCCCUUGGGGGUGCACCAGCCCACUAAGGGGCUGGUUCCCACCCAACUACAGCCCAUUAGGUCCUUCGGGGCAGGUGGACCCUCCCGGUGGACCCCCGGAACCCCUUCGGUGGUCCCGGUACAAUACCGAUAAACCCCGAAACCUUUCCGGUGACUGAAACUGGACUUCCCAUAUAUAAAUCUUCACAUCCGGACCAUUCCGGAACUCCUCGUGACAUCCGGGAUCUCAUCCGGGACUCCGAACAACUUUCGGUAACCACAUACAAUUCCCAUUACAACUCUAGCGUCACCGAACCUUAAGUGUGUAGACCCUACGGGUUCGGGAACUAUGCAGACAUGACCGAGACAUCUCUCCGGCCAAUAACCAACAGCGGGAUCUGGAUAUCCAUGUUGGCUCUCACAUGUUCCACGAUGAUCUCAUCGGAUGAACCACGAUGUCAAGGAUUCAAUCAAUCCCGUAUACGAUUCCCUUUGUCUACCGGUAUAGCACUUGCCCGAGAUUCGAUCGUCGGUAUACCGAUACCUUGUUCAAUAUCAUUACGGCAAGUCUCUUUACUCAUUCCGUAACACAUCAUCCUGUGACCAACCCCUUAGUCACAUUGAGCUCAUUACGAUGAUGUCUUACCGAGUGGGCCCAAAGAUACCUCUCCAUCAUACGGAGUGACAAAUCCCAGUCUCGAUCCGUGCCAACCCAGCAGAUACUUUCGGGGAUACCCGUAGUAUACCUUUAUAGCCACCCAGUUACGUUGUGACGUUUGGCACACCCAAAGUACCCUUACAGUAUCCGGGAGUUGCACAAUCUCAUGGUCUAAUGAAAAUAUACUUUACAUUAGAAAAGCUUUGGCAGACGAACUACACGAUCUUGUGCUAUGCUUAGGAUUGGGUCUUGUCCAUCACAUCAUUAUCCUAAUGAUGUGAUCCCGUUAUCAAUGACAUCCUAUGUCCAUGGUUAGGAAACCGUAACCAUCUAUUGAUCAACGAGCUAGUCAACUAGAGGCUCACUAGGGACAUGUUGCGGUCUAUGUAUUCACACAUGUAUUACGAUUUUCGGAUAACACAAUUAUAGCAUGAACAAUCACUACUAGAUAUUUCAUUAUAACCGAGGGUCCAAUCACCGUUGGAUAUUUUUGAUCACCGUCAACUAUUACUAAAACCGACGGUACACCGUCGGCCAUCUCCCGUCGGCCUUGCUCUGUCGGCCAUUACAGUAAUGGUCGACGGUACAGUCGGGUAAUAUUGUCACCUACCGUAGUAAGCCGACGGUGAGCCGUCGGGCAUGUUAUUGUGACCAGCUGGCUCAUCUUAGCCCGACGACAUUUAUAGCCGACGGUUCCUCGUCGAGCAUUUACUCUCCGACGGUUAUUGCUUCCCGUCGGUUUUCAAAGUAGUCGACGGUACAUUUGUCCCGCUGGACUUAUUUAUGACCGUGAGGAGAACCAAACUGUCAGCUCAUUAGAUGGUCGACAGUGUAUACGGCCUUUCAGGAAACCUGUUAGCCGAGGGUGAGCGAACACCGCCAGAAAACCUGUUAGUCAAGGGUGAGCAAACACCGUCAAUUUAUAAAUUCACCAACAGUCUAAAGUCCCCAUUGGCAUUCUCUAUAACCGAGACAUAUUUUCCACCAUAGGUCAUUACUCACCCCUCGUAUAUUUCUUUCACCAAGGGGUGUUUCAUUCCAUCUCAUACACAAGCACAAGGUAUUGAGUUGCAUCCAAAUUGCAUUAACCAUAAUUAUCAAAUGUCGAAUGCAGAACAAAAUAGUAACUGAGAUAGGCCACAUUUUGCAUAAGAUAAAUUGUCCACUAAGACAAAUUUGUCCAUAAGAUAAUAAAGUGUUUCAAAUAUCUAACACAACUACAUUUUGACAUGACUUGAAGAUCAUUAGAUUUUAUAGCCAAUCAUCAUCAUCGCCAUCGCCACUGCCAUAGCCAUAGCCAUAGUCAUCCUCAUCUCCAUAGUCAUCAUAUUCCCCAUCACCAUAGUGAUCAUAGUGCUCAUCACCAUACAGAUCACCCUCGCCAUAGUUACCAUAUCCCCCAUUGCCAUAGUCAUCGUCCUCAUCAUCAUUUCCAUGACUCGUACUGCCUCCAGUCCUGCUUCCCAUUCCCUAAGUAAUGACAAGACUAGUUGUCAGUAUAAUGUAGCUGAAAUUUAAGUGACCUACAGGGAUCAAACUUAAUUGUUCUAAUUGACAGGUUAUCUGCGAACUGCUAUAUGACAGCAUGAUUAUCCAACAAUAUGAUGCCUAUUCACCUUUAGUUCCUUCACAUGAAAUUUUCAGAGGAAACAUGAAUCAGCAGGAACACAUUCCAUACACAUUUACCAAGUACUGUGCAUAUCUAUCUGCAACCCCAUUAUCAACAGUGUUUACAUUUCGCAGUCACAUGACAAAGCCGAAUUAGUAAACUAACAGACCGCUAUUGGCUAGUUUGGGCAUAUAGUAAACUAAUUAAGAAUGGCAUGUACAAAGAGCAUAAACUAGCAGCAUGUGCCCCAAGGUGAAAUAAUAUUAGCAUGUAUAUGUAUUAUAAUUGAAAUGCAUAUGUACAGAGGCUUUAUUGAACAUGGUACAAUGCUUAGAUAAAGGAAGAGUAUCCGUAAGAAAAAUAUUCCGGAUGGUUAGCCUAAAUGCUUUCAUGUCUACUAAUUCGUUCCCUGCGACCUCAAUAAAUUAUACAUGAAGUACAAAUAAAUUAUUGUUCAUACUAUCAUAUUUUUCCUAUUAAUGAUUUUUUAAUUGACAUGGUUCAGUUUAUCUAGUUUUACACAUAAGAAAUGAUAGCGAAUUUAGAUAUGCAAGCAAACAAGGCAUAUGUACAGAGAUACAAGCAAACAAGGCAUAUGUACAGAUAAACAAGCAUGACAACUGUAGGCUAUCAAGUGUGGUCUUCACUGCAUUUUUUUUCUCAUAGAUGUGCAGAUAAACUUGUCCUAUCAACCAUCAAGUAUUUACAUGCAGCAUCAGUCAUUUCUCUUAGGUCAUAUAAUCCUUUAGAGGAAUGCGCCAAUAUAGUUAACCAUGCAUUUCUUUUCUAAAUCUGUAAUUAAAAUAUAUGAAGGAUCUACAUCUGCUGCUACUUUCCAUGACCAAAAAUACUGCACCUGACUUGCACACACAAAUUCUCUCUUGAUGUGCUAAUACAUAUGCAAAGACAAACACAUAAAUGGUGGAACAAGGAGAGGUAAUCCCCAGACUUGCGAGCACGACGACAAUGAACUAACCUUUUCGGUUUGGUGUUGAGGCACAUCACCUCGUCCCCUUUGAAAUCCGCCUUCAGAAUAUGAUGGAGACUAUGUAUCAUACACAAAAGAAACAUUACUUAAUGGGUUCAAUUGCUGAAAGCCUACAAUUUAGAUGGGUAUAACUUACCAAGUCAUCUGUUGCUGAUUGCAUUAUGCCAUCAAAGUCGACUCCCCCUUUCUCAGCCAAAGACAACAAACAUCAGCAUGUCAGCACAUACCUAUUCACUCAGACUCUAAUUUACAAGAGAAGAUAAUAUUACCUGAACAACAAGCUCAAUGCCUCGAAGACGCUUGAUCUCCUGCUUCAAAUAUUUGUUUUCUCUUUCUAGACGCUCCUCCUUAGCAGAUUGCACCGGCUGUGAGGCCAUCGCCCUUUUAGACUUAAACUUCGCCUUCUCUGCUUUGCUAAACAACUCAUUAGCAAUUCCCAGCCUGCCAUGUGGCAUUCUGCCUGCUGCUUCGUAGAUGAUUUGUCCAUCUAAAUCCGGGUGCUCCUCUUCCCAAUUUUCUCCAUGGGCAUUUUUCAUUGCCUUAUCAAAAUCCUCCUUUUCAAAUUAAAAAUUAAUGGUAAACUGCAGUGUUAUGCACAUAGUUCUCAUGAUGAUUAUAAUGAACUAAGUUGCAAUAUUUUACUGACCCAAUGAUCAGCAGUUCUUUGACUGCAUAUCUGCUCUUCAUCAGUCCCUCGAUGCAAUUUGUGCGUGUGAAGCCAAGCACCAGAAAUUCCAGGGUCUUUCCCGGUUUUGAGUUUCUGCAUUUCAAGAGUGUGACACAUCAUCCAAUGUAAAUGAAACUUCCUUAUUAAACAGUAAGCACAAAGAUGUUUGACGAAAAUAGUACCAGAAAUUGACGUGUGGCGACAACAUUUCUAGCACCACUGCAAUGGAAGACCGUGUCCCCAUUAGCAAGUCUGUUCCUUUUGUUGGUUAAAGAUAACCCUCUAAAUUCAGUACUACUCCAGUGCUCACAUAGUAGACGCCAACCAACGUCUGUACCAAAGUCAACUCUCUUUGCAGAAAUUAAAGCUUCCUUAGUUGGCCAGCGGUUACCAUCCUCAUCCUCUUCUGUUAGUUCUGUAGGCAAUUGUCCCUUCUUCUUUAAUCUUUUGAUGGGUGCCGCCUUUUCCUCAUGUAGCAUCUGCUUCACUUUCCUAGUUAAGUUCUCCUCCAAAACACCAUCUGCCUUCUCUUGCUCCGAUGGGUCACACUUGAAACGCCACUGCCAAAAACCAUCCCAAAACAUUUUUUGUUAGUUACUAGUGCAUUUGUGGAAGUGAGCAUAUGCAUAAUCAUCAAAGCUUCCAACACUUCAUAGAUAAACCAAGUAGUUUUGUCAUGGUUGUGACCAAAAUAAAGAAUUUUAACUACCACGUAUCCACCAGUUUUAGACUUCUUAUGUCUAAAUAUAAUAUGUUCACCUCUGUUUCAGAAUUCUAAGUACUAGAAAAACUGAUUCAAAAUUCUCAAAGCAUUGUGCGCAUAUACUUACCCAAAAUUCUUCCACUAUUUUGGAAGCUGCUGUUCUUACUUCUGGACCAGGGGACCACUUGUAGUCCUCCCAACACAAUACGAGGUCGUCGGCCAACAUGUCCACCACGAGGAUGCCACCGCCACACCAUCCUUGCUUGAACAGGCUGGUUUUCAAAACCACCCCAACCAUAGGGCCGAUUGACUUGUAGGAGAAGGAUCUGAAGAAUCUUUAUUCAGCGCCGUCAUUGCCGCCGCCGAAGCCAAGACGAUGAGCAACCUAAAAACAAAGCUACUUUAGCCUAAAACUAUUCCACACACACACACGGAGAGAAAGAGAGAGAGAGAUCCGGCGACCCCCCUAGCACCAACGAUCGAGGUCGUCGGCGGAGGGGAGCCGCCGUCGAACUCUCUUUGGGAGAGACGCUAGCGAGAUAGCCCUUUUUCUUCACGAGGAAGAAAGAAUGACCACUGCUUAAUGGUUGAUUUGUUGUGUUUGUGGUGUCUCAUAAGGAUUGUACGUAGAGAAUCAUAUGUAUAUAUAUAGUGACUCUUUUUUAGUUUUGAAAUACGGAACUCGGGCUUGUAAGUCACGAUAGUACUAGUACUUCAUGACCAGCCAUACGUGUUUACUAAGGACCUAAAAUGGUGAUGAAAAAUAUGAACGGGUUCAUAUUGUACAAACAUAGCCUCACCGAUGCAGGGGACGGCAGCACUUUGAAACGGUAAGGCCCCUGUUGCUCCAUGUGGCAGACUCUUUGUAGAAAACGUGAUACCUCCCUUUUACUUUCUUGGUUGGGAGGAAAAAGAAUGGUCGCACUGCUUCGGACAAAAAGGAUCAUGUGUACGUAUAGUAUCGUAUGCAUAGCAUUCCACUUCCUUAAUUUUAAAAUACAACACUCAUCCUCGUUAUAAUUCAAGAUGUAAUUAAUACUUCACGACACAUUUGCAUUUAAUUAAUAAUAUACAUGAAGGUCGGGGUCCUUCUAGACAAAGUUGCAUUUAUUAGAAAAACUAAAGAUACGUGCAAGGCAAAAGUUACAGAAGUACAUGACCAAGAAAUUAUCAAACUAGGACUUUAAUUAGUAAGUGCAAUUUUUUUAAACAUCAUAUUUGUAUUAUCAUGUACCAAUUUUUUUAAGCAUCCUAUAUAUUAAUUGUGAAAAAGAACAUAAUGCACUCGCUUACAAUAGCAAUGCUAGAUGUUAGUUCUUGGAAUCUUCUUAUACUGAAUUAUCUGGAAUAUAACAUCGGUCAUUCUACAUAUGUUGUCCAUUGAAACAUAUCAUCGAGAGGGAAAGUCAAAUGCCGGUUAUCACUAUACACCAUCGGGUAUUUUCUCAAAUAACCAAGAGGCACAUAUCUACCGCCGGCCAUGUCCUCUCAUAGGUGAGAGUUUUGUUUUCACCUUCGGCUAUUAAAUUUCACCGUCGGGCAUUACAUGUAAUCCCCGUGAGUGUGGCAAAAACCGUCGGGCAUUACAUGUAAUCCCCGAGGGUGUACCAAAAACCACCGGGCAUUACAAUUAACCGUCGGGCAUUACAUGUAAUCCUCGUGGGUGUAGGGAAACCCGUCGAGCAUUACGUGUAAUCCCCGUGGGUGUAGGGAAACCCGUCGGGCAUUACAUGUAAUCCCCGUGGGUGUAGGAAAAACCGUCGGGCAUUACAUGUAAUCCCCGUGGGUGUAGGAAAAACCGUCGGGCUUUACGAUGAACCGUCAGGCAUUAAGUUGGAUAUCCGAGGGGUGAAUUUUCACCGUCGGACAUUCUAGUAUACCGUCGGGUAUUAGUGGUAAUACUCGUGAGUCGACAGUAACCGUCGGCCAUUAUAACUACCGUCGGCUAUUACUGUAAUACCCGACGGUCCGUCGGCUAUUAGAUUUCACCGUCGGAAAUAUGGGGAUUUCUAGUAGUGAAUAGACAAUUAUCAUGAACAAGGAAAUAUAAUAAUAACCAUUUUAUUAUUGCCUCUAGGGUAUAUUUCCAACAAUACAACGUGCCUUUCUGCCCCUAUUGUCACUGGGAAAGGACACCGCAAGAUUGAACCCAAAGCUAAACACUUCUCCCAUUGCAAGAAAGAUCAAUCUAGUAGGCCAAACCAAACUGAUAAUUCAAAGAUACUUGCAAAGAUAACCAAUCAUACAUAAAAGAAUUCAGAGAAGAUUCAAAUAUUGUUCAUAGAUAAACUUGAUCAUAAACCCACAAUUCACCGGUCUCAAUAAACACACUGCAAAAGAAGAUUACAUCGAACAGAUCUCCACAAGAGAGGGGGAGAACUUUGUAUUGAGAUCCAAAAAGAGAGAAAAAGCCAUCUAGCUACUAACUAUGGACCCGUAGGUCUGAGGUAAACUACUCACACUUCAUCGGAGGGGCUAUAGUGUUGAUGUAGAAGCCCUCCGUGAUUGAUGCCUCCUCCGACGGAGCUCCGGAACAGGCCCCGAGAUGGGAUCUCGCGGAUACAAAAAGUUACGGCGGUGGAAUUAGGGUUUUGGCUCCGUAUCUGGUAGUUUGGGGGUACGUAGAUAUAUAUAGGAGGAAGGAGUAUGUCGGUGGAGCAACAGGGGACCCACGAGGGUGGAGGGCGCGCCUGGGGGGGUAGGCGUGCCCCCUACCUCGUGGCCUCCUGGUUGAUGUCUUAAUGUCGGGUCCAAGUCCUCUGGAUCAUGUUCGUUCUAAAAAUCACGUUCCCAAAGGUUUCAUUCCGUUUGGACUCCGUUUGAUAUUCUUUUUCUGCGAAACCCUAAAAUAGGCAAAAAAAAACAACAAUUCUGGGUUGGGCCUCCGGUUAGUAGGUUAGUCUAAAAAAUAAAAUAAAAGUGUAUAAUAAAGCCCAAUAUUGUCCAAAACAGAAUAUAAUAUAGCAUGGAACAAUCAAAAAUUAUAGAUACAUUGGAGACGUAUCAAGCAUCCCCAAGCUUAAUUCCUGUUCGUCCUCGAGUAGUUAAAAGAUAAAACGGAAUUUUUGAUGUGGAAUGCUACUUGGCAUAUUUUCAGUGUAAUUCUUCUUAAUUGUGGUAAGAAUAUUCAGAUCCAAAAGAUUCAAGAUAAAAGUUCAAUAUUAACAUAAAAAUAAUAAUACUUCAAGCAUACUAACUAAGCAAUUAUGUCCUCUCAAAAUAACAUGGCCAAAGAAAGUUCAUCCCUACGAAAUCAUGUAGUUUAGUCAUGCUUCAUUUUCGUCACACAAGAAUGCACUCAUCAUGCACAACCCCGAUGACAAGCCAAGCAAUUAUUUCAUACUUUAGUAAUCUCAAACUUUUUCAACCUUCAUGCAAUAUAUGAGCGUGAGCCAUGGAUAUAACACUAUGGGUGGAAUAGAAUAAUGAUGGGGGUUAUGUGGAGAAGACAAAAAGGGAGAAAGUCUCUCAUCAACGAGGCUAAUCAAUGAGCUAUGGAGAUGCCCAUCAAGUGAUGUUAAUGCAAGGAGUAGGGAUUGCCAUGCAACGGAUGCACUAGAGCUAUAAAUAUAUGAAAGCUCAACAAAAGAAACUAAGUGGGUGUGCAUCCAACUUGCUUGCUCACGAAGACCUAGGGCAUUUGAGGAAGCCCAUUGUUGGAAUAUACAAGCCAAGUUCUAUAAUGAAAAGUUCCCACUAGUAUAUGAAAGUGACAAAACAAAAGACUCUCUAUCAUGAAGAUUAUGGUGCUACUUUGAAGUACAAGUUAUUGGAAAUAUGCCCUAGAGGCAAUAAUAAAAUGGUUAUUAUUAUAUUUCUUUGUUCAUGAUAAUUGUCUAUUGUUCAUGCUAUAAUUGUGUUAUCCGGAAAUUGUAAUGCAUGUGUGAAUACAUAGACCACAACACGUCCCUAGUGAGCCUCUAGUUGACUAGCUCGUUGAUCGAAAGAUAUUCAUGGUUUCCUGACUAUGGACAUUGGAUGUCAUUGAUAACGGAUCACAUCAUUAGGAGAAUGAUGUGAUGGACAAGACCCAAUCCUAAGCAUAGCUCAAAGAUCGUGUAGUUCGUUUGCUAUAGCUUUUCCGAAUGUCAAGUAUCAUUUCCUUAGACCAUGAGAUUGUGCAACUCCCGGAUACCUUAGGAGUGCUUUGGGUGUGCCAAACGUCACAACAUAACUGGGUGACUAUAAAGGUACACUACAGGUAUCUCCGAAAGUGUCUGUUGGGUUGGCACGAAUCGAGACUGGGAUUUGUCUCUGGGCCCACUCGGUAAUGCAUCAUCAUAAUGAGCUCAAUGUGACCAAGUGGUUGAUCAUGGGAUCAUGCAUUACGGUACGAGUAAAGUGACUUUCCGGUAACGAGAUUGAACGAGGUAUUGGGAUACCGAUGAUCGAGUCUCGGGCAAGUAAUGUACCGAUUGACAAAGGGAAUUGUAUACGGAUUGAUUGAAUCCUCGACAUCGUGGUUCAUCCGAUGAGAUCAUCGAGGAGCAUGUGGGAGCCAACAUGGGUAUCCAGAUCCUGCUGUUGGUUAUUGACCGGAGAGUCGUCUCAGUCAUGUCUGCGUGUCUCCCGAACCCGUAGGGUCUACACACUUAAGGUUCGGUGACGCUAGGGUUGUUGAGAUAUUAGCAUACGGUAACCCGAAAGUUGUUCGGAGUCCCGGAUGAUAUCCCAGACGUCACGAGGAGUUUCGGAAUGGUCCGGAGGUGAAGAUUUAUAUAUAGGAAGUCAAGUUUCGGCCAUCGGGAAGGUUUCAGGGGUAAUCGGUAUUGUACCGGGACCACCGGAAGGGUCCCGGGGGUCCACCGGGUGGGGCCACCUAUCUCGGAGGGCCCCAUGGGCUGAAGUGGGAGGGGAACCAGCCCCUAGUGGGCUGGUGCGCCCCCCCCCCCCACCAUGGGCCUUCCCUGCGCCUAGGGUUGGAAACCCUAGGGAUGGGGGCGCCCCACUUGGCUUGAGGGGCACUCCACCCCCCUUGCCCCCCCCUUGGAGAUUCAAUCUCCUAGGGCCGGCGCCCCCCCUAGGGGUCCUAUAUAUAGUGGGGGGAGGGAGGGCAGCCGCACCCUAGCCCCUGGCGCCUCCCUCUUCCUCCCGUGACACUCCUCCCUCUCCCUGAGCUUGGUGAAGCCCUGCCGAGAUCACCGUUGCUUCCACCACCACGCCGUCGUGCUGCUAGAUCUUCAUCAACCUCUCCUUCCCCCUUGCUGGAUCAAGUUGGAGGAGACGUCUUCCCAACUGUACGUGUGUUGAACGCGGAGGUGCCAUCCGUUCGGCGCUAGGUCAUCGGUGAUUUGGAUCACGACGAGUACGACUCCAUCAACCUUGUUCUCUUGAACGCUUCCGCACGCGAUCUACAAGGGUAUGUAGAUGCACUCCCCUCUCCAUCGUUGCUAGAUGACUCCAUAGAUUGAUCUUGGUGAUGCGUAGAAAAUUUUAAAAUUCUGUUACGUUCCCCAACAAUGGCAUCAUUAGAUAGGUCUAUGCGUAGUUUCUAUGCACGAGUAGAACACAAAGCGGUUGUGGGCGUGGAUAUUGUCAAUUUGCUUGCCAUUACUAGUCUUAUCUUGAUUCGGCCGCAUCGUGGGAUGAAGCGGCCCGGACCGACCUUACACGUACGCUUACAUGAGACUGGUUCCACCGAUUGACAUGCACUAGUUGCAUAAGGUGGCUGGCGGGUGUCUGUCUCUCCCACUUUAGUCGGAUCGGAUUCGAUGAAAAGGGUCCUUAUGAAGGGUAAAUAGAAAUUGGCAUAUCAUGUUGUGGUUUUGGUGUAUGUAAGAAACGUUCUUGCUAGAAACCUAUAGCAGCCACGUAAAAACUUGCAACAACAAUUAGAGGACGUCUAACUUGUUUUUGCAACAUGUGCCGUGCGAUGUGAUAUGGCCAAAAGGAUGUGAUGAAUGAUAUAUGUGAUGUAUGAGAUUGAUCAUGUUCUUGUAAUAGGAAUCACGACUUGCAUGUCGAUGAGUAUUACAACCGGCAGGAGCCAUAGGAGUUGUCUUUAUUUAUUUAUGACCUGCGUGUCAACAUAAACGUCAUGUAAUUACUUUAUUUUAUUGCUCAAGCGUUAGCCAUAGUAGUAGAAGUAAUAGAUGACGAGACAACUUCAAGAAGACACAAUGAUGGAGAUCAUGAUGAUGGAGAUCAUGGUGUCAUGCCGGUGACAACGAUGAUCAUGAAGCCCCGAAGAUGGAGAUCAAAAGGAGCAAAUGAUAUUGGCCAUAUCAUGUCACUAUUUGAUUGCAUGUGAUGUUUAUCAUAUUUUACAUCUUAUUUGCUUAGAACGACGGUAGCUCAAAUAAGAUGAUCCCUCGUAAUAAUUUCAAGAAAGUGUUCCCCUAACUGUGCACCGUUGCGAAGGUUCGUUGUUUCGAAGCACCACGUGAUGAUCGGGUGUGAUAGAUUCUAACAUUCGAAUACAACGGGUGUAAGCCAGAUUUACACACGCAAUACACUUAGGUUAACUUGACGAGCCUAGCAUGUACAGACAUGGCCUCGGAACACGGAAGACCGAAAGGUCGAGCAUGAGUCGUAUAGAAGAUACGAUCAACAUGAAGAUGUUCACCGAUGUUGACUAGUCCGUCUCACGUGAUGAUCAGACACGGCCUAGUUGACUCGGAUCAUGUUUCACUUAGAUGACUAGAGGGAUGUCUAUCUAAGUGGGAGUUCAUUGAAUAAUUUGAUUAGAUGAACUUAAUUAUCAUGAACUUAGUCUAAAAUCUUUACACUAUGUCUUGUAGAUCAAAUGGCCCACGCUAAUGUUGCCCUCAACUCCAACGCGUUCCUAGAGAAAACCAAGCUGAAAGAUGAUGGCAGCAACUAUACGGACUGGGUCCGGAACCUGAGGAUCAUCCUCAUAGCUGCCAAGAAAGAUUAUGUCCUAGAAGCACCGCUAGGUGACGCACCCAUCCCAGAGAACCAAGACGUUAUGAACGCUUGGCAGUCACGUGCUGAUGAUUACUCCCUCGUUCAGUGCGGCAUGCUUUACAGCUUAGAACCGGGGCUCCAAAAGCGUUUUGAGAGACACAGAGCAUAUGAGAUGUUUGAAGAGCUGAAAAUGGUUUUCCAAGCUCAUGCCCGGGUCGAGAGAUAUGAAGUCUCCGACAAGUUCUUCAGUUGUAAGAUGGAGGAAAAUAGUUCUGUCAGUGAGCACAUACUCAAAAUGUCUGGGUUGCAUAACCGCUUGACUCAGCUGGGAGUUAAUCUCCCGGAUGACGCGGCCAUUGACAAAAUCCUUCAGUCGCUUCCACCGAGCUACAAGAGCUUUGUGAUGAACUUCAAUAUGCAGGGGAUGGAAAAGACCAUUCCUGAGGUAUAUUCGAUGCUGAAAUCAGCGGAGGUGGAAAUCAAAAAGGAACAUCAAGUGUUGAUGGUGAAUAAAACCACUAAGUUCAAGAAAGGCAAGGGUAAAAGGAACUUCAAGAAGGACGGCAAGGGAGUUGCCGCGCCCGGUAAGCAAGCUGCCGGGAAGAAGCCAAAGAAUGGACCCAAGCCCGAGACUUAGUGUUUUUAUUGCAAGGGAAGUGGUCACUAGAAGCGGAACUGCCCCAAAUACUUAGCGGACAAGAAGGCCGGCAACACUAAAGGUAUAUGUGAUAUACAUGUAAUUGAUGUGUACCUUACCAGUACUCGUAGUAGCUCCUGGGUAUUUGAUACCGGUGCGGUUUCUCACAUUUGUAACUCAAAGCAGGAGCUGCGGAAUGAGCGGAGACUGGCGAAGGACGAGGUGACGAUGUGCGUCUGGAAUGGUUCCAAGGUCGAUGUGAUCGCUGUCGGCACGCUACCUCUACAUUUACCUACGGGAUUAGUUUUAAACCUCAAUAAUUGUUAUUUAAUGCCAGCUUUGAGCAUGAACAUUGUAUCAGGAUCUCGUUUAAUUCGAGAUGGCUACUCAUUUAAAUCCGAGAAUAAUGGUUGUUCUAUUUAUAUGAGAGAUAUGUUUUAUGGUCAUGCUCCGCUGGUGAAUGGUUUAUUCUUAAUGAAUCUCGAGUGUAAUGUUACACAUAUUCAUAGUGUGAAUACCAAAAGAUGUAAGGUUGAUAAUGAUAGUCCCACAUACUUAUGGCACUGCCGCCUUGGUCACAUAGGUGUCAAACGCAUGAAGAAGUUCCAUGCAGAUGGACUUUUGGAGUCUCUUUAUUACGAAUCAUUUGACACGUGCGAACCAUGCCUCAUGGGUAAAAUGACCAAGACUCCAUUCUCAGGAACAAUGGAGUGAGCAACCAACUUAUUGGAAAUCAUACAUACUGAUGUGUGCGGUCCAAUGAGUGUUGAGGCUCGCGGUGGCUAUCGUUAUGUUCUCACCCUCACUGAUGACUUGAGUAGAUAUGGGUAUGUCUACUUAAUGAAACACAAGUCUGAGACCUUUGAAAAGUUCAAGGAAUUUCAGAGUGAGGUUGAGAAUCAACGUGACAGGAAAAUCAAAUUCUUGCGAUCAGAUCGUGGAGGAGAAUACUUGAGUCACGAAUUUGGCACACACUUAAGAAAAUAUGGAAUAGUUUCACAACUCAGGCCGCCUGGAACACCUCAGCGUAAUGGUGUGUCCGAACGUCGUAAUCGCACUCUAUUGGAUAUGGUGUGAUCUAUGAUGUCUCUUACCGAUCUACCGCUGUCAUUUUGGGGCUAUGCUUUAGAGACUGCCGCAUUCACUUUAAAUAGGGCUCCGUCGAAAUCCGUUGAGACGACACCGUAUGAAUUGUGGUUUGGGAAGAAACCUAAGCUGUCAUUUCUAAAAGUUUGGGGAUGCGAUGCUUAUGUCAAGAAACUUCAACCUGAAAAGCUCGAACCCAAGUCGGAAAAAUGCGUCUUCAUAGGAUACCCUAAAGAAACUAUUGGGUACACCUUCUACCUCAGAUCCGAAGGCAAGAUCUUUGUUGCCAAGAAUGGAUCCUUUCUAUAGAAAGAGUUUCUCUCGAAAAAAAUAAGUGGGAGGAAAGUAGAACUCGAUGAAGUAUUACCUCUUGAACCGGUAAGUAGCGCAGCUCAAGGAAAUGUUCCUAAGGUGCCUGCACCGACUAGAGAGGAAGUUAAUGAUGAUGAUCAUGAAACUUCAGAUCAAGUUGCUACUGAACUUCGUAGGUCCACAAGGACACAUUCCGCACCAGAGUGGUACGGCAACCCUGUCUUGGAAAUCAUGUUGUUAGACAACGGUGAACCUUCUAACUAUGAAGAAGCGAUGGCGGGCCCAGAUUCCGACAAAUGGCUGGAAGCCAUGAAAUCCGAGAUAGGAUCCAUGUAUGAAAAUGAAGUAUGGACUUUGACUGACUUGCCCGAUGAUCGGCGAGCCAUAGAAAAUAAAUGGAUCUUUAAGAAGAAGACAGACGCGGAUGGUAAUGUAACCAUCUAUAAAGCUCGGCUUGUCGCUAAGGGUUAUCGACAAGUUCAAGGGGUUGACUAUGAUGACACUUUCUCACUCGUAGUGCAGCUGAAGUCCGUCCGAAUCAUGUUAGCAAUUGCCGCAUUCUGUGAUUAUGAGAUAUGGCAAAUGGACGUCAAAACGGCAUUCCUUAAUGGUUUCCUUAAGGAAGAAUUGUAUAUGAUGCAGCCGGAAGGUUUUGUCGAUCCUAAGAAUGCUGACAAGGUGUGCAAGCUCCAACGCUCGAUUUAUGGGCUGGUGCAAGCAUCUCAGCGUUGGAACAUUCGUUUUGAUGAGAUGAUCAAAGCGUUUGGGUUUACGCAGACUUAUGGAGAAGCCUGCAUUUAUAAGAAAGUGAGUGGGAGCUCUAUAUCAUUUCUCAUAUUGUAUAUGGAUGACAUACUGUUGAUGGGAAAUGAUAUAGAAUUCUUGGAAAGCAUAAAGGCCUACUUGAACAAGUGUUUUUCAAUGAAGGAUCUUGGAGAAGCUGCUUAUAUAUUAGGCAUCAAGAUCUAUAGAGAUAGAUCGAGAAGCCUCAUUGGUCUUUCACAGAGUACGUACCUUGACAAGAUAUUGAAGAAGUUCAAAAUGGAUCAGUCAAAGAAGGGGUUCUUGCCUGUAUUGCAAGGUACGAGAUUGAGCACGGCUCAAUGCCCGAUCACAGCAGAAGAUAGAGAAAAGAUGAGUGUCGUCCCCUAUGCCUCGGCCAUAGGGUCUAUCAUGUAUGCUAUGCUGUGUGCCAGACCUGAUGUAAACCUUGCCGUAAGUUUGGUAGGAAGGUACCAAAGUAAUCCUGGCAUGGAACACUGGACAGCGGUCAAGAACAUCCUGAAGUACCUGAAGAGGACUAAGGAUGUGUUUCUUGUUUAUGGAGGUGACAAAGAGCUCGUUGUAAAGGGUUACGUCGAUGCUAGCUUCGACACAGAUCUGGAUGACUCCAAGUCACAAACCGAAUAUGUGUAUAUUUUGAAUGGUGGGGCAGUAAGGUGGUGCAGUUGCAAGCAAAGCGUUGUGGCGGGAUCUACAUGUGAAGCGGAGUACAUGGCAGCCUUGGAGGCAGCACAAGAGGCAAUCUGGGUGAAGGAGUUCAUUACCGACCUAGGAGUCAUACCCAAUGCGUCGGGCCCGAUGACUCUCUUCUGUGACAACACUGGAGCUAUUGCCCUUGCCAAGGAGCCCAGGUUUCACAGGAAGACCAAGCAUAUCAAGCGUCGCUUCAACUCCAUUUGUGAAAGUGUUCAAAAUGGAGACAUAGAUAUUUGUAAAGUACAUACGGACCAGAAUGUGGCAGAUCCUUGACUAAACCUCUCCCUAGAGCAAAACAUGAUCAACACCAGAACUGCAUGGGUGUUCGAUUCAUCACAAUGUAACUAGACUAUUGACUCUAGUGCAAGUGGGAGACUAUUGGAAAUAUGCCCUGGAGGCAAUAAUAAAAUGGUUAUUAUUAUAUUUCUUUGUUCAUGAUAAUUGUCUAUUGUUCAUGCUAUAAUUGUGUUAUCCAGAAAUCGUAAUGCGUGUGUGAAUACAUAGACCACAACACGUCCCUAGUGAGCCUCUAGUUGACUAGCUCGUUGAUCGAAAGAUAGUCAUGGUUUCCUGACUAUGGACACUGGAUGUCAUUGAUAACGGGAUCACAUCAUUAGGAGAAUGAUGUGAUGGACAAGACCCAAUCCUAAGCAUAGCUCAAAGAUCGUGUAGUUCGUUUGCUAUAGCUUUUCUAAAUGUCAAGUAUCAUUUCCUUAGACCAUGAGAUUGUGCAACUCCCGGAUACCGUAGGAGUGCUUUGGGUGUGCCAAACGUCACAACGUAACUGGGUGACUAUAAAGGUACACUACAGGUAUCUCCGAAAGUGUCUGUUGGGUUGGCACAAAUCGAGACUGGGAUUUGUCACUCCGUAUGACGCAGAGGUAUCUCUGGGCCCACUCGGUAAUGCAUCAUCAUAAUGAGCUCAAUGUGACCAAGUGGUUGAUCAUGGGAUCAUGCAUUACGGUACGAGUAAAGUGACUUUUCGGUAACGAGAUUGAACGAGGUAUUGGGAUACCGGCGAUCGAGUCUCGGGCAAGUAACAUACCGAUUGACAAAGGGAAAUGUAUACGGAUUGAUUGAAUCCUCGACAUCGUGGUUCAUCCGAUGAGAUCAUCGAGGAGCAUGUGGGAGCCAACAUGGGUACCCAGAUCUCGCUGUUGGUUAUUAACCGGAGAGUCGUCUCAGUCAUGUCUGCGUGUCUCCCGAACCCGUAGGGUCUACACACUUAAGGUUCGGUGACGCUAGGGUUGUUGAGAUAUUAGCAUACGGUAACCCGAAAGUUGUUCAGAGUCCCGGAUGAUAUCUCGGACGUCACGAGGAGUUUCGGAAUGGUCCGGAGGUGAAGAUUUAUAUAUAGGAAGUCAAGUUUCGGCCAUCGGGAAGGUUUCGGGGGUAAUCGGUAUUGUACCGGGACCACCGGAAGGGUCCCGGGGGUCCACCGGGUGGGGCCACCUAUCUCGGAGGGCCCCAUGGGCUGAAGUGGGAGGGGAACCAGCCCCUAGUGGACUGGUGCGCCCCCCCAUGGGCCUUCCCUGCGCCUAGGAUUGGAAACCCUAGGGGUGGGGGCGCCCCACUUGGCUUGGGGGGCACUCCACCCCCCUUGCCCCCCUUGGAGAUUCAAUCUCCUAGGGCCGGCGCCCCCCUAGGGGUCCUAUAUAUAGUGGGGGGAGGGAGGGCAGCUGCACCCUAGCCCCUGGCGCCUCCCUCUCCCUCCCGUGACACUCCUCCCUCUCCCUGAGCUUGGCGAAGCCCUGCCGAGAUCACCGUUGCUUCCACCACCAUGCCGUCGUGCUGCUGGAUCUUCAUCAACCUCUCCUUCCCCCUUGCUGGAUCAAGUUGGAGGAGACGUCUUCCCAACUAUACGUGUAUUGAACGCGGAGGUGUCGUCCGUUCGGCGCUAGGUCAUCGGUGAUUUGGAUCACGACGAGUACGGCUCCAUCAACCUCGUUCUCUUGAACGCUUCCGCACGCGAUCUACAAGGGUAUGUAGAUGCACUCCCCUCUCCCUCGUUGCUAAAUGACUCCAUAGAUUGAUCUUGGUGAUGCGUAGAAAAUUUUAAAAUUCUGUUAUGUUCCCCAACAGUGGCAUCAUUAGCUAGGUCUAUGCGUAGUUUAUAUGCACGAGUAGAACACAAAGCGGUUGUGGGCGUGGAUAUUGUCAAUUUGCUUGCCGUUACUAGUCUUAUCUUGAUUCGGCGGCAUCGUGGGAUAAAGCGGCCCGGACCGACCUUACACGUACGCUUACGUGAGACUGGUUCCACCGAUUGACAUGCACUAGUUGCAUAAGGUGGCUGGCGGGUGUCUGUCUCUCCCACUUUAGUCGGAUCGGAUUCGAUGAAAAGGGUCCUUAUGAAGGGUAAAUAGAAAUUGGCAUAUCAUGUUGUGGUUUUGGCGUAUGUAAUAAACGUUCUUGCUAGAAACCUAUAGCAGCCACGUAAAAACUUGCAACAACAAUUAGAGGACGUCUAACUUGUUUUUGCAGCAUGUGCCGUGCGAUGUGAUAUGGCCAAAAGGAUGUGAUGAAUGAUAUAUGUGAUGUAUGAGAUUGAUCAUGUUCUUGUAAUAGGAAUCACGACUUGCAUGUCGAUGAGUAUGACAACCGGCAGGAGCCAUAGGAGUUGCCUUUAUUUAUUUAUGACCUGCGUGUCAACAUAAACGUCAUGUAAUUACUUUACUUUAUUGCUAAGGCGUUAGCCAUAGUAGUAGAAGUAAUAGAUGACAAGACAACUUCAAGAAGACACGAUGAUGGAGAUCAUGGUGUCAUGCCGGUGACAACGAUGAUCAUGAAGCCCCGAAGAUGGAGAUCAAAAGGGAAUGGCUUCCGGGGCAUCCCCAAGCUUUGACUUCUUGGUGUCCUUGGAUUAUCUUGGGGGUGCCAUGGGCAUCCUCAAGCUUAGGCUCUUGCCACUCCUUGUUCCAUAAUCCAUCAAAAGAAUUCACCCAAAACUUGAAAACUUCACAACACAAAGCUCAAAAUAGAAAACUCGUGAGCUCCGUUAGCGAAAGAAAACAAAAACCACUUCAAGGUACUGUAAUGAACUCAUUCUUUAUUUAUAUUGGUGUUAAACCUACUGUAUUCCAACUUCUCUAUGGUUUAUAAACUAUUCGGAAUAGCUAAUCAUGUCGGCUGGCAGAUUGUAACAGAUCCGGACGAUGUUGGAGCCGUUGGAUCAUGAUCGCCUGGUUAUUAUUUAGGUAGCGAUUUGCGCGGCGGGACAGCUGGGCGUUGGCCAUGUUUUAAUGGGAGGGUGUCGUUUCACGUUUAGUGGGAGUUUCGCGGUUUUAGCAGGGCAUUUAAUGAGAGGUUGCCGUGAUUUUUGGGCGUUACACAUUUUCUGUCUCAUUGUUGCACUAUUUUUUAAGCCAAAAAUUACAUUAUGAACAUGAUUCAAACUCUAGACCAGUACGAAAUACAAAGAGGCACUAACCACUACGCUAGCACAACCUUUGGUGCAUGUUUGAACUAGUUAUUUAAUUUGUAUGUUAUACAGAGAACAAAUUUCCUUUGCCAUUCAGAUUUGAUCCUGGUUGCUAAAAAACAGAGCGAAGGAUUCACCUUAUCGAGACUUUGUACCUACCCAAAUGUUGAUCCAAACAAAAUUGUUGAAACAUACCUGCGGUAAUUUUGAUGUAAAUUACAUGGUAAUUGACUUGACGUAGUCAUAACAAAUUACAUGCAAACACCGAGGUUGCUUUGACUCAGGCGGAAUUUUUAUUGAACAUUCGUUUUUUUAUAUUUUCGUAAGCGGGCGAUGAUGAGGAUUCGUAAGAAAUAAUCUUAUAUCAAGGAAAACAGUGUUCAAUCAAUUCUGAAAACAUGCUUCAGCGUGUACUUGCUUUGGGAGGAGUUGAGUAAAUUGGGAAUGUCCAACGCCCGUCCUCUCCCACAUCAAAAUUUUGAAGAGUGGCAAGAUGCAUCAUCCCACAAUAUAGUUACUAUGCACUAUAGUUAGCAACAUGAUUAUUUUAUAGUUAUUGGGCUAGAUGUACUAUAGUUAUCAACACGGUCAUUUUGUAGUUAUCGGGCAAGAUCUACUAUAGUUAUCGGGCAAUAUCUACUAUAGUUAUCAACAUGGUUAUUAUGCAGUUAUUGGGCUAGACAACAUGGUUAAUUUUUGUCGUUAUCGGGCUACAUCUGGUAUAAUACAUCCCUGGCAGCUUAUGCAUAAAUCGCAUGAUAUUUUAUACACCACAGACAUGAUAACUAAUGCACAAACAUCAUGAUAACUGUGACCCGGGAGGAAAAGUCGAAGACAUCCCCCGAUAGCUUCUACAUAAGAAGCAUGAUAACUUACACACCACAAACUUAAUAACUCAUGCGCAAAUACUGUGAUAACUUUGACCCGGGGGAGGAGGUGUUUAAAAACAUCACCGAUAACUUUCGUAAAAUAGCAUGGUAUUGUAUGCACCAUAUACGUGAUAACUUACGCAUAAAUACCAUGGUAACUUUUGGUCCGGGGGUGGUGGGAGGGGAUGAAGUUGUUUGAAAACAUACCCCCUCCUGAUAACUUCCAUAUAAAUAUCAUGAUAAUAUACGCACCGCAAACUUGAUAAAUCAUGUACAAACACCGUGAUAACUUUGAUGGCGGGGGUACAGUUGUUUCAAAACAUACCCUCGAUAACUUAUCUGUAAAUAACAUGGUAAUAUACGGACCGCAGACAUGGUAACUCACGCACAAACACCACGUAACUUUGUUCAGAAAAAAAAUAGUUGUUGAAAAUGUACCACGGUAACUCAUGUGUAAAUAGCAUGAUAUUAGACACACAUCAGAGCUGAUAACUUACUUAGCCCGGGCCUGAUAACUAUUUGCAUCAAAAAAGUCGUCAAAACAUAUCAACAUGAGAUCUAGUUUCAAAGGUCUCGUCGCGAUAGAUUUUUUAAUGUGAAAUUGACUUUUCGACUAGACCAACGAUUUGAGCUAUAAAACAUCUAAAAGUUUCGAACAAAGAGAACUAGGAUGACAUGAAAAAAUUCUUCCAAUGCAUGUGCUUGUGAAUAUAUAGAAGGUUGGAGAAACUUUUUUCAUGGCCUGGUAAUUUCUUUGUAAACAACAUGAUAACUUAUGCCCCACAGGCAUGAUAACUAUUUAGAACACGUGGUAACUUCUAACUCAAAAAAAGUCAUCGAAACAUAUCAACAUGGGAUCUAGUUUCGAAGAUCUCGUCACUACGAAUAUUUUAUGUGAAAAUAGUUUUUUAAUCGGAGUGACGGUUUGUGCUACAAAACAUUCUAAAUUUUCGCAUUUGGGAGAAUCUUUGAUGACAUCAUCAAUUUCAUUUCUUCUGCAUGUAUAUAAUUAGUAGCUGCUAAUUAACUGCAUAGUGGAUAGUGGACACGCAUCAAAAAAAAUGAAGAUGCAUGCAAGCAAGCUAGACAAGAGAGGAAUUGUGCGGAUCUAUUGCUUAAUGUCUGACUGGUAGGAUGUUAAUCGUGUCGUAAACUAUUUUACUAGCCAUAGAUUCAUCAAAAUAAGCAAACAACACACGAAAAACAGAAUCUGUCAAAAACAGAAUAGUCUGUAGUAAUCUGUAGCUAACGCAAGAUCUGGAACCCCAAAAAUUCUAAAAUAAAUUGAUGGACGUGAGGAAUUUAUCUAUUAAUCAUCUGUAAAAAGAAUUAACUAAAUAUCUGAAGGAAAUAUGCCCUAGAGGCAAUAAUAAAGUUAUUAUUUAUUUCCUUAUUUCAUGAUAAAUGUUUAUUAUUCAUGCUAGAAUUGUAUUAACCGGAAACAUAAUACAUGUGUGAAUACAUAGACAAACAGAGUGUCACUAGUAUGCCUCUACUUGACUAGCUCGUUAAAUCAAAGAUGGUUAUGUUUCCUAACCAUGAACAAUGAGUUGUUAUUUGAUUAACGAGGUCACAUCAUUAGUUGAAUGAUCAGAUUGACAUGACCCAUUCCAUUAGCUUAGCACCCGAUCGUUUAGUAUGUUGCUAUUGCUUUCUUCAUGACUUAUACAUGUUCCUAUGACUAUGAGAUUAUGCAACUCCCGUUUGCCGGAGGAACACUUUGGGUACUACCAAACGUCACAACGUAACUGGGUGAUUAUAAAGGAGUACUACAGGUGUCUCCAAUGGUCGAUGUUGGGUUGGCGUAUUUCGAGAUUAGGAUUUGUCACUCCGAUUGUCGGAGAGGUAUCUCUGGGCCCUCUUGGUAAUACACAUCACAUAAGCCUUGCAAGCAUUACAACUAAUAUGUUAGUUGUGAGAUGAUGUAUUACGGAAUGAGUAAAGAGACUUGCAGGUAACGAGAUUGAACUAGGUAUUGGAUACCGACGAUCGAAUCUCGGGCAAGUAACAUACCGAUGACAAAGGGAACAACGUAUGUUGUUAUGCGGUCUGACCGAUAAAGAUCUUCGUAGAAUAUGUAGGAGCCAAUAUGGGCAUCCAGGUCCCGCUAUUGGUUAUUGACCGGAGACGUGUCUCGGUCAUGUCUACAUUGUUCUCGAACCCGUAGGGUCCGCACGCUUAAGGUUACGAUGACAGUUAUAUUAUGAGUUUAUGCAUUUUGAUGUACCGAAGGUUGUUCGGAGUCCCAGAUGUGAUCACGGACAUGACGAGGAGUCUCGAAAUGGUCGAGACAUAAAGAUUGAUAUAUUGGAAGCCUAUGUUUGGACAUCGGAAGUGUUCCGGGUGAAAUCGGGAUUUUACCGGGUUACCGGGAGGUUACCGGAACCCCCCGGGAACCAUAUGGGCCAUCAUGGGCCUUAGUGGAAAGGAGAAAGGGGCAGCCCAAGGGGGUUGCGCGCCUCCCCCCUUCCCCUAGUCCUAUUAGGACUAGGAGAGGUGGCCGGCCACCCCUCUCCCUCUUUCCCCCUUGGGAAUCCUAGUUGGAAUAGGAUUGGGGGGGGGGAGUCCUACUCCCGGUAGGAGUAGGACUCCUCCUGCGCCCUCCUCCCUGGCCGGCGCCCCUCUCCCCCCUUGGCUCCUUUAUAUACUGAGGUAGAGGCACCCCAAAACACACAAGUUGACACAAGUUGAUCCACGUGAUCUAUUCCUUAGCCGUGUGCGGUGCCCCCUGCCACCAUAUUCCUCGAUAAUACUGUAGCGGAGUUUAGGCGAAGCCCUGCUGCUGUAGUUCAUCAAGAUCGUCACCACGCCGUCGUGCUGACGAAACUCUUCCCCGACACUUUGCUGGAUCGGAGUCCGGGGAUCGUCAUCGAGCUGAACGUGUGCUCGAACUCGGAGGUGCCGUAGUUUCGGUGCUUGAUCGGUUGGAUCGAGAAGACGUACGACUACUUCCUCUACGUCGUGUCAUCGCUUCCGCAGUCGGUCUGCGUUGGGUACGUAGACAAUACUCUCCCCUCGUUGAUAUGCAUCACAUGAUCUUGCGUGUGCGUAGGAAAUUUUUUGAAAUUACUACGAAACCCAACAGUGGCAUCCGAGCCUAGGUUAUUGAUGUUGAUGUUAUAUGCACGAGUAGAACACAAGUGAGUUGUGGACGAUACAAGUCAUACUGCCUACCAGCAUGUCAUACUUUGGUUCGGCGGUAUUGUUGGACGAGACGACCCAGACCAACCUUACGCGUACGCUUACGCGAGACCGGUUCCCUCGACGUGCUUUGCACAGAGAUGGCUUGCGGGCGACUGUCUCUCCAACUUUAGUUGAACCAAGUAUGGCUACGCCCGGUCCUUGCGAAGGUUAAAACGGAGUCUAUUUGACAAACUAUCAUUGUGGUUUUGAUGCGUAGGUGAGAUUGGUUCUUACUUAAGCCCGUAGCAGCCACGUAAAAACAUGCAACAACAAAGUAGAGGACGUCUAACUUGUUUUUGCAGGGCAUGUUGUGAUGUGAUAUGGUCAAGGCAUGAUGCUGAAUUUUAUUGUAUGAGAUGAUCAUGUUUUGUAACCAAGUUAUCAGCAACUGGCAGGAGCCAUAUGGUUGUCGCUUUAUUGUAUGCAAUGCAAUCGCGAUGUAAUGCUUUACUUUAUUACUAAACGGUAGUGAUAGUCGUGAAAGCAUAAGAUUGGCGAGACGACAACGAUGCUACGAUGGAGAUCAAGGUGUCGCGCCGGUGACGAUGGUGAUCAUGACGGUGCUUCGGAGAUGGAGAUCACAAGCACAAGAUGAUGAUGUCCAUAUCAUAUCACUUAUAUUGAUUGCAUGUGAUGUUUAUCUUUUUAUGCAUCUUAUCUUGCUUUGACUGACGGUAGCAUUAUAAGAUGAUCUCUCACUAAAUUAUCAAGAAGUGUUCUCCCUGAGUAUGCACCGUUGCCAAAGUUCGUCGUGCCCAGACACCACGUGAUGAUCGGGUGUGAUAAGCUCUACGUCCAUCUACAACGGGUGCAAGCCAGUUUUUGCACACGCAGAAUACUCAGGUUAAACUUGACGAGCCUAGCAUAUGCAGAUAUGGCCUCGGAACACGGAGACCGAAAGGUCGAGCGUGAAUCAUAUAGUAGAUAUGAUCAACAUAAGCGAUGUUCACCAUUGAAAACUACUCCAUCUCACGUGAUGAUCGGUCAUGGUUUAGUUGAUUUGGAUCACGUAAUCACUUAGAAGAUUAGAGGGAUGUCUAUCUAAGUGGGAGUUCUUAAGUAAUAUGAUUAAUUGAACUUAAAUUUAUCAUGAACUUAGUCCUGGUAGUAUUUUGCAAAUUAUGUUGUAAAAUCAAUAGCUUGCAUUGUUGCUUUCAUAUGUUUAUUUUGAUAUGUUCCUAGAGAAUAUUGUGUUGAAAAAUGUUAGUAGCAAUGAUGCAGAUUUGAUCCGCGAUCUGAGGUUUAUCUUCAUUGCUGCACAGAAGAAUUAUGUCCUUAAUGCACCGCUAGGUGACAGACCUAUUGCAGGAGCAGAUGCAGACGUUAUGAACGUUUGACUAGCUCAAUAUGAUGACUACUUGAUAGUUAUGUGCACCAUGCUUUAUGGCUUAGAAUCGGGACUUCAAAGAUGUUUUGAAUAUCAUGGACCAUAUGAGAUGUUCCAGUAAUUGAAGUUAAUAUUUCAAGCAAAUACCCGAGUUGAGAGAUAUGAAGUCUCCAACAAGUUCUAUAGCUAAAAGAUGGAGGAGAAUCGCUCAACUAGUGGGCAUGUGCUCAGAUUGUCUGGGUACUUCAAUCACUUGAUUCAAGUGGGAGUUAAUCUUCCAGAUAAGAUAGUGAUUGACAGAAUUCUCUAGUCACCAUCACUAAGUUACUGAACUUCAUGAUGAACUAUAGUAUGCAAGGGAUGACGAAAACGAUUCCCGAGCUCUUCGUGAUAUUGAAAUCGACGAAGGUAGAAAUCAAGAAAAAGCAUCAAGUGUUGAUGAUUGACAAGACCACUAGUUUCAAGAAAAGGGCAAAGGGAAAGAAAGGGAACUUCAAGUGGAAAGACAAGUAAGUUGUCACUCCUGCGAAGAAGCCCAAAGCUGGACCAUAGCCUGAAACUGAGUGCUUACACUGCAAAGGAAAUGAUCACUGGAAGCGGAAAUGCCCUGAAUAUUCGGUAGAUAAGAAGGAUGGCAAAGUGAACAAGGAUAUAUUUGAUAUACAGGUUAUUGAUGUGUGCCUUGCUAGUGUUUAUAGUAGCCCCGGAGUAUUUGAUACUUGUUCAGUUGCUAAGAUUAGUAACUCGAAACUGGAGUUACAGAAUAAACAAAGACUAGUUGAAGGGGAAGUGACGAUGAGUGUUGGAAGUAGUUCCAAGAUUGAUAUAAUCGUUAUCGCACACUCCCUAUACUUUCGGAUUAGUGUUAAACCUAAAUAAGUGUUAUUUGGCGUUUACGUUGAGCAUGAAUAUGAUUUGAUCAUGUUUAUUGCAAUACGGUUAUUCAUAUAAAAUCAGAGAAUAAUUGUUGUUCUGUUUACAUGAAUAAGACCUUCGAUGGUUAUACACCCAAUGAAAAUAGUUCGUUGGAUCUCGAUCAUAGUGAUACACAUAAUCAUAAUAUUGAAACCAAAAGAUGCAAAGUUAAUAAUGAUAAGUGCAACUUGUUUGUAGCACUGCCGUUUAGGUCAUAUUGGUGUAAAGCGCAUGAAGAAACUCCAUAUUGAUGGGCUUUUGGAAUCACUUGAUUAUGAAUCAAGUUGAUGCUUGCGAACCAUGCCUCAUGGGCAAGAUGACUAAGACUCUGUUCUUCAGAACAAUGAAGCGAGCAAUAGAUUUAUUGAAAAUCGUACAUACUGAUGUAUGUGGUCCGAUGAAUAUUGAGGCUCGCGACAGGUAUCAUUAUUUUCUGAUCUUCACAGAUGAUUUGAGCAGAUAUGAGUAUAUCUACUUGAUGAAACAUAAGUCUGAAACAUUUGAAAAGUUCAAAGAAUUUCAGAGUGAAGUGAAAAAUCAUCGGAACAAGAAAAUAAAGUUUCUACGAUCUGAUCAUAGAGAAGAGUAUUUGAGUUACGAGUUUGGCCUUCAGUUAAAAACAAUGUGAAAUAGUUUCACUACUCAUGCCACCUAGAACACCACAAUGUAAUGGUGUGUCCGAACGUCAUAACCGUACUUUAUUAGAUAUGGUGCGAUCUAUGAUGUGUCUUACCGAUCUACCACUAUCGUUUUGGGGUUAUGCAUUAGAGACAGCUGCAUUCACGUUAAAUAGGGCACCAUCUAAAUCCGUUGAGACGACACCGUGUGAACUAUGGUUUGGAAAGAAACCUAAGCUGUCGUUUCUUAAAUUUGGGGUUGCGAUGCUUAUAUGAAAAAGUUUCAUCCUGAUAAGCUCAAACUCAAAUCGGAGAAGUGCGUCUUCAUAGGAUAUCCAAAGGAAACUAUUGGAUACACCUUCUAUCACAGAUCCGAAGGCAAGACUUUUGUUGCUAAAUUCGGAAACUUUCUGGAGAAGGAGUUUCUCUCGAAAGAAGUGAGUGGGAGGAAAGUAGAACUUGACGAGGUAACUGUACCUGCUCCCUUAUUGGAAAGUAGUACAUCCCAGAAAACUGUUUCUGUGACACCUACACCAGUUAGUGAGGAAGCUAAUGAUGAUGAUCAUGAAACUUCAGAACAAGAUACUACUGAACCUCGUAGAUCAACCAGAGUAAGAUCCGCGCCAGAGUGGUACGAUAAUUCUUUUCUGGAAGUCAUGCUACUAGAUCAUGAUGAACCUACGAACUAUGAAGAAGCAAUGGUGAGCCCAGAUUCCGCAAAGUGGCUUGAAGCCAUGAAAUCUGAGAUGGGAUCCAUGUAUGAGAACAAAGUUUGGACUUUGGUUGACUUGCCCGAUGAUCGGCAAGCAAUUGAGAAUAAAUGGAUCUUCAAGAGGAAGACGGACGCUGAUAGUAGUGUUACUAUCUACAAAGCUAGAAUUGUCGCAAAAAAGUUUUUCGACAAGUUCAAGGUGUUGACUACGAUGAGAGCUUCACACUCGUAUCUAUGCUUGAGUCUGUCUGAAUCAUGUUAGUAAUUGCCGCAUUUUAUGAAAUCUGGCAAAUGGAUAAACAAAACUGCAUUCCUUAAUGGAUUUAUUAAAGAAGAGUUGUAUAUGAUGCAACAGAAGGUUUUGUCAAUCCGAAAGGUACUAACAAAAUGUGCAAGCUCCAGCGAUCCAUCUAUGGACUGGUGCAAGAAUCUCGGAAGUUGGAAUAUACGCUUUGAUGAGUUGAUCAAAGCAUAUAGUUUUAUACAGACUUUCGGAGAAGCCUGUAUUUACAAGAAAGUGAGUGGGAGCACUACAACAUUUCUGAUAAGUAUAUGUGAAUGACAUAUUGUUGAUCGGAAAUAAUGUAGAAUUAUUCUGCAAAGCAUAAACGAGUGUUUGAAAGGAGUUUUUCAAAGAAAGACCUCGGUGAAGCUGCUUACAUAUUAAGUAUCAAGAUCUAUAGAGAUAGAUCAAGACACUUGAUAAGUUUUCAAUGAGUACAUAACUUGACAAGAUUUUGAAGUAGUUCAAAAUGGAACAGUCAAAGAAAAAGGUUUCUUACCUGUGUUACAAGGUGUGAAGUUGAGUAAAACUCAAAGCCUGACCAUGACAGAAGAUAGAAAGAGAAUGAAAGUCAUUCCCUAUGCCUCAGUCUUAGGUUCUAUAAAAUAUGCCAUGCUGUAUACCAGAUCUAUUGUAUGCCCUACCACUGAGUUUGGCAAGGGAGUACAAUAGUGAUCUAGGAGUAGAUCACUGGACAGCGGUCAAAAUUAUCCUUAGUGGAAUAAGGAUAUGUUUCUCGAUUAUGGACGUGACAAAAAGGUUCGUCGUAAAGGGUUACGUCGAUGCAAGUUUUUGACACUAAUCCAGAUGAUUCUAAGUCUCAAUCUGGAUACAUAUUGAAAGUGGGAGCAAUUAGCUAGAAUAGCUCCGUGCAGAGCAUUGUUGACAUAGAAAUUCGCAAAAUACUUGCAGAUCUGUAUGGGACAGACCCGUUGACUAAAAUUAUCUCACAAGCAAAACAUGAUCACACCUUAGUACUCUUUGGGUGUUAAUCACAUAGCUAUGUGAACUAGAUUACUGACUCUAGUAAACCCUUUGGGUGUUGAUCACAUAUUGAUGUGAACUAUGGGUGUUGAUCACAUGGUGAUGUGAACUAUUGCUAUUAAAUCACAUGGCGAUGUGAACUAGAUUAUUGACUCUAGUGCAAGUGGGAGACUGAAGGAAAUAUGCCCUAGAGGCAAUAAUAAAGUUAUUAUUUAUUUCCUUAUUUCAUGAUAAAUGUUUAUUAUUCAUGCUAGAAUUGUAUUAACCGGAAACAUAAUACAUGUGUGAAUACAUAGACAAACAGAGUGUCACUAGUAUGCCUCUACUUGACUAGCUCGUUAAAUCAAAGAUGGUUAUGUUUCCUAACCAUGAACAAUGAGUUGUUAUUUGAUUAACGAGGUCACAUCAUUAGUUGAAUGAUCAGAUUGACAUGACCCAUUCCAUUAGCUUAGCACCCGAUCGUUUAGUAUGUUGCUAUUGCUUUCUUCAUGACUUAUACAUGUUCCUAUGACUAUGAGAUUAUGCAACUCCCGUUUGCCGGAGGAACACUUUGGGUACUACCAAACAUCACAACGUAACUGGGUGAUUAUAAAGGAGUACUACAGGUGUCUCCAAUGGUCGAUGUUGGGUUGGCGUAUUUCGAGAUUAGGAUUUGUCACUCCGAUUGUCGGAGAGGUAUCUCUGGGCCCUCUCGGUAAUACACAUCACAUAAGCCUUGCAAGCAUUACAACUAAUAUGUUAGUUGUGAGAUGAUGUAUUACGGAACGAGUAAAGAGACUUGCCGGUAACGAGAUUGAACUAGGUAUUGGAUACCGACGAUCGAAUCUCGGGCAAGUAACAUACCGAUGACAAAGGGAACAACAUAUGUUGUUAUGCGGUCUGACCGAUAAAGAUCUUCGUAGAAUAUGUAGGAGCCAAUAUGGGCAUCCAGGUCCUCCUAUUGGUUAUUGACCGGAGACGUGUCUCGGUCAUGUCUACAUUGUUCUCGAACCCGUAGGGUCCGCACGCUUAAGGUUACGAUGACAGUUAUAUUAUGAGUUUAUGCAUUUUGAUGUACCGAAGGUUGUUCGGAGUCCCGGAUGUGAUCACGGACAUGACGAGGAGUCUCGAAAUGGUCGAGACAUAAAGAUUGAUAUAUUGGAAGCCUAUGUUUGGACAUCGGAAGUGUUCCGGGUGAAAUCGGGAUUUUACCGGGUUACCGGGAGGUUACCGGAACCCCCCGGGAACCAUAUGGGCCAUCAUGGGCCUUAGUGGAAAGGAGAAAGGGGCAGCCCAAGGGGGCUGCGCGCCUCCCCCCUUCCCCUAGUCCUAUUAGGACUAGGAGAGGUGGCCGGCCACCCCUCUCCCUCUUUCCCCCUUGGGAAUCCUAGUUGGAAUAGGAUUGGGGGGGAGUCCUACUCCCGGUAGGAGUAGGACUCCUCCUGCGCCCUCCUCCCUGGCCGGCGCCCCUCUCCCCCCUUGGCUCCUUUAUAUACUGAGGUAGAGGCACCCCAAAACACACAAGUUGACACAAGUUGAUCCACGUGAUCUAUUCCUUAGCCGUGUGCGGUGCCCCCUGCCACCAUAUUCCUCGAUAAUACUGUAGCGGAGUUUAGGCGAAGCCCUGCUGCUGUAGUUCAUCAAGAUCGUCACCACGCCGUCGUGCUGACGAAACUCUUCCCCGACACUUUGCUGGAUCGGAGUCCGGGGAUCGUCAUCGAGCUGAACGUGUGCUCGAACUCGGAGGUGCCGUAGUUUCGGUGCUUGAUCGGUUGGAUCGAGAAGACGUACGACUACUUCCUCUACGUCGUGUCAUCGCUUCCGCAGUCGGUCUGCGUUGGGUACGUAGACAAUACUCUCCCCUCGUUGCUAUGCAUCACAUGAUCUUGCGUGUGCGUAGGAAUUUUUUUGAAAUUACUACGAAACCCAACAAUAUCACCUUCCAAAUAAAAAUGGCAGCAAUUCUCGUGAGCGCUAAAGUUUCUGUUUUUUACAACAAGAUUAAAAAGACUUUUCCCAAAUCUUCCCAACGGUUCUACUUGGCACAAAAACUAAUUAAAUGCAAAAAACACAACCAAACAGAGGCUAGAUAAAUUAUUCAUUACUAAAUAGGAGCAAAAAUAAAAGAAUAAAAAUAAAAUUGGGUUGCCUCCCAACAAGCGCUAUCGUUUAACGCCCCUAACUAGGCAUAAAAGCAAGGAUAGAUUUAGGUAUUGCCAUCUUUGGUAGGCAAUCCAUAAGUGGCUCUCAUAAUAGAUUCAUAAGGUAAUUUAAUUUUCUUUCCAGGGAAGUGUUCCAUGCCAUUCCUUAACGGAAAUUGGAAUCUAAUAUUUCCUUCCUUCAUAUAAAUAAUUGCACCAAUCGUUCUAAGGAAAUGUCUACCAAGAAUAAUAGGACAUGAAGGAUUGCAAUCUAUGUCAAGAACGAUAAAAUCUACGGGCACAUAAUUCCUAUUUGCAAUAAUAAGAACAUUAUUAAUUCUUCUCAUAGGUUUCUUAAUAGUGGAAUCCGCAAGGUGCAAGUUUAAAGAGCAAUCAUCAAAAUCACGGAAACCUAGCAAAUCACACAAAGUCUUUGGAAUCGUGGAAACACUAGCACCCAAAUCACACAAAACAUAGAAUUCAUGAUCUUUAAUCUUAGUUUUAAUAGUAGGUUCCCACUCAUCAUAAAGUUUUCUAGGGAUAGAAACUUCUAACUCAAGUUUUUCUUCAUAAGAUUGCAUCAAAGCAUCAACGAUAUGUUUAGUAAAAGCUUUAUUUUGACUAUAAGCAUGAGGAGAAUUUAGCACGGAUUGCAACAAGGAAAUACAAAUCUAUCAAAGAGCAAUUAUCAUAAUUAAAUUCCUUGAAAUCCAAAAUAGUGGGUUCAUUAAUAUUUAAGGUUUUGACUUCUUCAAUCCCACUUUUAACAAUUUUAGCAUCAAGAUCUAAAGAUUCCGAAUUCUUGGAACGCCGUCUAGGUAAAGGUGGAUCAUAUUCAGUCCCAUCAUUAUCAAGAUUCAUAUUGCAAAACAAAUAUUUAAUAGGGGACACAUCAAUAACUUUUAGAUCUUCAUCUUUAUUAUCAUGGAAACUAGAAGAACGCGCUUUUAUAAAGCAAUCUUUCUUAGCACGCAUCCUAGCGGUUCUUUCUUUGCACUCAUCAAUGGAAAUUCUCAUGGCUUUGAGAGACUCAUUGAUAUCAUGCUUAGGAGGAAUAGAUCUAAGUUUCAAAGAAUCAACAUCAAGAGAAAUUCUAUCAACGUGCCUAGCCAACUCAUCAAUCUUAAGCAAUUUUUCUUCAAUCAAAGCAUUGAAAUUCUUUUGCAAAGUAAUAAAUUCUUUAAUAUUAGAUUCAAAAUCAGAGGGCAUCUUAUUAUAAUUUCCAUAAGAAUUGUUGUAGUAAUUACCAUAACUAUUAGAGGAAUUACUAGGAUACGGCCUAGGAUUAAAGUUUCCUCUAUACGCGUUGUUACCAAAAUUAUUCCUACCAAAAAAAUUCACAUCCAUAGAUUCAUUAUUAUUCUCAAUCAAAGUAGACAAAGGCAUAUCAUUAGGAACAGAAGAAGCACUUUUAUUAUCAAAUAAUUUCAUAAGUUCAUCCAUCUUUCCACUCAAAACAUUAAUUUCUUCUAUCGCAUGCACUUUCUUAUUAGUAGAUCUUUCGGUGUGCCAUUGAGAAUAAUUAACCAUAAUAUUAUCUAGGAGUUUAGUAGCUUUUCCUAAAGUGAUUUCCAUAAAAUUGCCUUCCGCGGCCGAAUCUAAAAGAUUUCUAGAAGCAAAAUUCAAUCCAGCAUAAAAAAAUUGUAUAAUCAUCCACAAAUUCAAACCAUGCGUAGGGCAAUUACAUAUCAUUAAUUUCAUCCUCCCCCAAGCUUGUGCAACAUGUUCAUGAUCAAGUUGCUUAAAAUUCAUAAUAUCGUUCUUAAGAGAGAUGAUCUUAGCGGGAGGGAAAUACUUAGAGAUAAAAGCAUCUUUGCACUUAUUCCACGAAUUAAUACUAUUUUUAGGCAAAGACGAAAACCAAGCUUUAGCACGAUCUCUAAGCAAAAGAGGAAAUAGCUUCAAUUUAACAAUAUCAUUGUCCACAUCUUUCUUCUUUUGCAUAUCACACAAAUCAACGAAGCUAUUUAGAUGGGUAGCGGUGUCUUCACUAGGAAGGCUGGAAAACGGAUCUUUCAUGACAAGAUUCAGCAAAGCAGCAUUAAUUUCACAAGAUUCGACAUCGGUAAGAGGAGCAAUCGGAGUGCUAAUAAAAUCAUUGUUGUUGGUAUUGGUAAAGUCACACAAUUUGGUAUUAUCUUGAGCCACCAUGACAAGCAAGCAAUCCGACACACAAGCAAACAAGAAACGGGCAAAAAGAGGCAAAUAGAGAAAGAGAGGGAGGAUAGAGAGAGAGGGGGCGAAUAAAACGACAAGAGUGAAGUUGGGGAGAGGAAAACGAGAGGCAAAUGGCAAAUAAUGUAAUGCGGGAGAUAAGGGUUUUGUGAUGAGUAUUUGCUUUGUUGACUUUUGCGUAGACCUCCCCAGCAACGGCGCCAGAAAUCCUUCUUGCUACCUCUUGAGCACUUGCGUUGGUUUUCCCUUGAAGAGGAAAGGGUGAUGCAGCAAAGUAGCGUAAGUAUUUCCCUUAGUUUUUGAGAACCAAGGUAUCAAUCCAGUAGGAGGCCACGCACGAGUCCCUCGCACCUACACAAACAAAUAAAUCCUCGCAACCAACACGAUAAGGGGUUGUCAAUCCCUACACGGUCACUUACGAGAGUGAGAUCUGAUAGAUAUGAUAAGAUAAUAUUUUUGGUAUUUUUAUGAUAAAGAUGCAAAGUAAAAUAAAAGGCAAAGGAAAUAAAUAAGUAUUGGAAGAUUAAUAUGAUAGAAGAUAGACCCGGGGGCCAUAGGUUUCACUAGUGGCUUCUCUCGAGAGCAUAAGUAUUCAUGGUGGGUAGACAAAUUAUUGUUGAGCAAUUGACAGAAUUGAGCAUAGUUAUGAGAAUAUCUAGGUAUGAUCAUGUGUAUAGGCAUCACGUCCGAGACAAGUAGACCGACUCCUGCCUGCAUCUACUACUAUUACUCCACACAUCGACUGCUAUCCAACAUGCAUCUAGAGUAUUAAGUUCAAGAGAACAGAGUAACACUUUAAGCAAGAUGACAUGAUGUAGAAGGAUAAACUCAUUCAAUAUGAUGAAACCCCAUCUUGUUAUCCUCGAUGGCAACAAUACAAUACGUGCCUUGCUGCCCCUACUGUCACUGGGAAAGGACAUCGCAAGAUUGAACCCAAAGCUAAGCACUUCUCCCAUUGCAAGAAAGAUCAAUCUAGUAGGCCAAACCAAACUGAUAAUUCGAAGAGACUUGCAAAGAUAACCAAUCAUACAUAAAAGAAUUCAGAGAAGAUUCAAAUAUUGUUCAUAGAUAAACUUGAUCAUAAACCCACAAUUCAUCGGUCUCAACAAACACACCGCAAAAGAAGAUUACAUCGAAUAGAUCUCCACAAGAGAGGGGGAGAACUUUGUAUUGAGAUCCAAAAAGAGAGAAGAAGCCAUCUAGCUAAUUACUAUGGACCCGUUGGUCUGAGGUAAACUACUCACACUUCAUCGGAGGGGCUAUGGUGUUGAUGUAGAAGCCCUCCGUGAUCGAUGCCCCCUCCGGCGGAGCUCCGGAACAGGCCCCAAGAUGGGAUCUCGUGGAUACAAAAGGUUACGGCGGUGGAAUUAGGGUUUUGGCUCCGUAUCUGGUAGUUUGGGGGUACAUACACACACACGCACACACACACACACACACACACACACAUAUAUAUAUAUAUAUAUAGGAGGAAGGAGUACGUCGGUGGAGCAACAGGGGGCCCACGAGGGUGGAGGGCGCGCCUGGGGGGUAGGCACGCCCCCUACCUCGUGGCCUCCUGGUUAAUGUCUUGACAUAGGGUCCAAGUCCUCUGGAUCAUGUUCGUUCCGAAAAUCACGUUCCCGAAGGACUCUGCUUGAUAUUCUUUUUCUGUGAAACCCUAAAAUAGGCAAAAAAACAGCAAUUCUGGGCUGGGCCUCCGGUUAGUAGGUUAGUCCCAAAAAUAAUAUAAAAGUGUAUAAUAAAGCCCAAUAAUGUCCAAAGCAAAAUACAAUAUAGCAUGGAACAAUCAAAAAUUAUAGAUACGUUGGAGACGUAUCACUACGCCAAGUCAAGACAUAUCAAGUACCCAUCAUAAACUCUUAUCCCUCGCAUUACAUUAUUUGCCAUUUGCCUCUCGUUUUCCUCUCCCCCACUUCACCUUUGCCGUUUUAUUUGCCUCUUUUCUAUCUGCCCUUUUUCCGUUCGUCUCUUCCCGCUUGCCUCUUGUGUGUCCGUGUGUUAGAUCAUUUGUUUCGUCUUGAUGGCGAGCCCUUCUUCUCUUCCUUUGUCUCUCGAUUUUGUAGUUCUUCACUUCAAACAAAGACAAGGAGAAAACUUAAAGGAUGCUUGGUACCGGAUGAUAGAAUCUUAUCGUAAUUGCACUAUAGGGGGGGUUUCAAGAUUUUGCUUUGCAAUUUUUAUGUUGGGCUAACCAUGUCCCAUAGACAACUCUUGGACUUUUCCGCUAAAGGGAGUUUUAUUGACGUUGAUCCCAACAUUGUGUAUGAGAUUAUAGAGGGAAUAGUAGGAAUACUACCCCCACAAAAGGGACUCCAUCAUACUCAAGAUGGAACCCAAGUUUUUGAGAAAAUAUGCAAAGUAACUAAAAUUUUGCAAAAAUCUCUCGAACCCCUUAAAAAUGUUAGUGGGAACCUUCACCACAUGAAUAUGUUGAUCACUCUUUGUAAUAAGUGGUUGGAUGCUCUAGAUCUAAAGAUCUCCAUGUAUGAAGGGAAACGUAAGGAACCUCCCGGAUCCGAGCAAAACCCUAUUAAAAGGACCAAAGAUGACAAUACCUAGAUCUAUUCUUGUUUUUAUGCCUAGCUAGGGGCGUUAAACGAUAGCGCUUGUUGGGAGGCAACCCAAUUUUAUUUUUUGUUUCUUAAUUUUUUGUUCCUUUUUAGUAAUAAAUAAAUCAUCUAUCUUCUAUUAUGAUUGUGUUUUUUAUGUUUUAAUUAGAGUUUGUGCCAAGUAAAGCCUUUAGGAUCUUCUUGGAUGAUUGUUAUUUGAUCUUGCUGAAAAAAACAGAAAGUAUGUGCUCACGAGAAUAAUUUUCAUUUUUAACCAAAGAGCGAUAAAAUACUGAUUCCAACUGCAGUCGAUCAAUAUAAAAAUUAUUUAGGAUGUAAUAAUUUCUCAGGAUUUUUGGAGUUACAGAAGUAUGCAAAACCUACAGAUUACUACAGACUAUUUUGUUUUUGACAGAUUCUGUUUUUCGUGUGUUGUUUGCUUAUUUUGAUGAAUCUAUGGCUAGUAUCAGGGGGUAUGAACCAUAGAGAAAUUGAAAUACAGUAGGUUUAACACCAAUAUAAAUAAAGAAUGAGUUUAUUACAGUACCUUAAGGUGGUGAUUUGUUUUCUUAUACUAACGGAGCUCAUGAGAUUUUCUGUUGAGUUUUGUGUUGUGAAGUUUUCAAGUUUUUGGAUAAAGAUUUGAUGGAUUUUGUAACAAGGAGUGGCAAGAGCCUAAGCUUUGGGAUGCCCAAGGCACCCCAAGGUAAAAUCCAAGGACAACCAAAAGCCUAAGCUUGGGGAUGCCCCGGAAGGCAUCCCCUCUUUCGUCUUCAUCUAUCGGUAACUUUACUUGAGGCUAUAUUUUUAUUCACCACAUGAUAUGUGUUUUGCUUGGAGCGUCUUGUAUGAUUUGAGUCUUUGAUUUUUAUUUUACCAUAAUUAUCCUUGCUGUACACACCUUUUGGGAGAGACACACAUGAAUCGGAAUUUUAUUAGAAUACUCAUGUGCUUUACUUAUAUCUUUUGAGCUAGAUAAUUUUGCUCUAGUGCUUCACUUAUAUCUUUUUAGAGCAUGGUGGUGGUUUUAUUUUAUAGAAAUCAUUGAUCUCUCAUGCUUCACUUAUAUUAUUUUGAGAGUCUUUUAAGAACAACACGGUAAUUUGCUUUGGUUAUGAAAUUAGUCCUAAUAUGAUAGGCAUCCAAGAUGGGUAUAAUAAAAACUUUCAUAUAAAGUGCAUUAAAUGUUAUGAGAAGUUUGAUCCUUGAUAGUUGUUUUGAGAUAUAAAGGUGGUAAUAUUAGAGUUGUGCUAGUUGAGUAAUUAUGGAAUUGAGAAGUACUUGUGUUGAAGUUGGCAAGUCUCGUAGCAUGCACGUAUGGUAAACGUUGUGUGACAAAUUUGAAGCAUGGGGUGUUCUUUGAUUUGCUUUCCUUAUGAGUGGCGGUCGGGGAUGAGCGAUGGUCUUUUCCUACCAAUCUAUUCCCCUAGGAGCAUGCACGUAGUGCUUGGUUUUGAUGACCUAUAGAUUUUUGCAAUAAGUAUGUGAGUUCUUUAUGACUAAUGUUGAGUCCAUGGAUUAUACGCACUCAAAUCCUUCCAUCAUUGCUAGCCUCUUCGGUACCGUGCAUUGCCCAUUCUCACCUCGAGAGUUGGUGCAAACUUCGCCGGUGCAUCCAAACCCCGUGAUAUGAUACGCUCUAUCACACAUAAACCUCCUUAUAUCUUCCUCAAAACAGCCACCAUACCUACCUAUUAUGGCAUUCCCAUAGCCAUUCCGAGAUAUAUUGCCAUCCAACUUUCCACCGUUCCUUUUAUUAUGACAUGCUCCAUCAUUGUCAUAUUGCCUUGCAUGAUCAUGUAGUUGACAUCGUAUUUGUGGCUUUGAAACCUUCAUAAUUAUUUCAUACAUGUCACUCUUGAUUCAUUGCAUAUCCCGGUACACCACCGGAGGCAUUCACAUAGAGUCAUAUUUUGUUCUAAGUAUCGAGUUGUAAUUCUUGAGUUGUAAGUAAAUAAAAAUGUGAUGAUUUUCAUUAUUAGAGCAUUGUCCCAUGUGAGGGAAGUUCUUCGAAAAAAAGAAAAAAAGAGAAAGGCCAUAAAAAAGGAGACCAAAAAAUGAGAGAAAAAGAGAGAAGGGGCAAUGUUACUAUCCUUUUUCCACACAUGUGCUUCAAAGUAGCACCAUGAUCUUUAUGAUAGAGAAUCUCUUAUGUUGUCACUUUCAUAUACUAGUGGGAAUUUUUCAUUAUAGAACUUGGCUUGUAUAUUCCAACAAUGGGCUUCCUCAAAAUGCCCUAGAUCUUCGUGAGCAAGCAAGUUGGAUGCACACCCACUUAGUUUCUUUUGUUGAGCUUUCAUGUAUUUAUAGCUCUAGUGCAUCUGUUGCAUGGCAAUCCCUACUCCUUGCAUUGACAUCAAUUGAUGGGCAUCUCCAUAGCCCGUUGAUUAGCCGCGUCAUGUGAGACUUUCUCCCUUUUGUCUUCUCACACAACCUCCAUCAUCAUAUUCUAUUCCACCCAUAGUGCUAUAUCCAUGGCUCGCGCUCAUAUAUUGCGUGAAAGUUGAAAAAGUUUGAAAAGACUAAAGUAUGAAACAAUUGCUUGGCUUGUCAUCGAGGUUGUGCAUGAUGGGAGUAUUUUGUGUGACGAAAAUGAAGCAUGACCAAACUAUAUGAUUUUGUAGGGAUAAGCUUUCUUUGGCUAUGUUAUUUUGAUAAGACAUGAUUGCUUGGUUAGCAUUGCUUGAAGUAUUAUUAUUUUUUAUGUCAAUAUUAAACUUCUGUCUAGAAUCUUUCGGAUCUAAACAUUCAUGCCGCGGUAAAGAGAAUUACAUUGAACAUUAUGUCAGGUAGCAUUCCACGUCAAAAAUUCCGUUUUUAUCAUUUACCUACUCGAGGAUGAGCAGGAAUUAAGCUUGGGGAUGCUUGAUACGUCUCCAACGUAUCUAUAAUUUUUUAUUGUUCCAUGCUAUUAUAUUAUCUGUUUUGGAUGUUUAUGGGCUUUAUUAUGCACUUUUAUAUUAUUUUUGGGACUAACCUAUUAACCGAAAGCCUAGUGCAAAUUGUUGUUUUUUUGCCUAUUUCAGUGUUUCGCAGAAAAGGAAUAUCAAUCAGAAUCCAAACGGAAUGAAAUCUUCGCGAGGAUCUUUUUUGCAACAAACGCAAUCCAGGAGACUUGGAGUGGGCGUCAAGGCAGCAGUGAGGCGGCCACGAGGUAGGGCGGCGUGCCCCCCACCCUCAUGGGCCCCUCAUAGCUCCACCGACCUACUUCUUUCGCCUAUAUAUACUCUUAUACCCUAAAAACAUCGAGGGGAGCCAAGAAACCACUUUCCCACCGCCGCAACCUUCUGUACCCGUGAGAUCCCAUAUGGGGACCUUUUCCGGCGAUCUGCCAGAGGAGGAUUCGAUCACGGAGGGCUUCUACAUCAACACCAUAGCCUCUACGAUGAUGUGUGAGUAGUUUACCACAGAUCUUCGGGUCCAUAGUUAUUAGCUAGAUGGCUUCUUCUCUCUCUUUGGAUCUCAAUACAAAAUUCUCCUCGAUGUUCUUGGAGAUCUAUUCGAUGUAAUUCUUUUUGCGGUGUGUUUGCCGAGAUCCGAUGAAAUGUGGGUUUAUGAUUAAGAUUAUCUAUGAACAAUAUUUGAUUCUUAUCUGAAUUCUUAUAUGCAUGAUUUGAUAUUUUUGCAAGUCUCUUCGAAUUAUCAGUUUGGCUUGGCCUACUAGAUUUAUCUUUCUUGUAAUGGUAGAAGUGCUUAGCUUUGAGUUCAAUCUUGCGGUGUCCUUUCCCAGUGAUAGCAGGAGCAGCAAGGCACAUAUUGUAUUGUUGCCAUCGAGGAUAAAAAGAUGGGGUUUAUAUCAUAUUGCUUGAGUUUAUCCCUCUACAUUAUGUCAUCUUGCCUAAUGCGUUACUAUGUUCUUUUGAACUUAAUACUCUAGAUGCAUGCUGGAUAGCGGUCGAUAUGUGGAGUAAUAGUAGUAGAUGCAAAAUCGUUUCGGUCUACUUGACACGGACGUGAUGCCUAUUUUCAUGAUUAUGCCUAGAUAUCAUCAUAACUAUGCGCUUUUCUAUCAAUUGCUCGGCAGUAAUUUGUUCACCCACCAUAAUAUAUGCUAUCUUGAGAAAAGCCACUAGUGAAACCUAUGGCCCUGGGUCUACUUUACAUCAUAUAAGUUUCUGAUCUACAAUUUUAGUUUAUUAUUUAUUUUGCAAUCUUUACUUUUCAAUCUAUACAACAAAAAUACCAAAACUAUUUAUCUUAUUAUCUUUAUCAGAUCUCAGUUUCGUAAGUGACCGUGAAGGGAUUGACAACCCCUUUAUCGCGUUGGUUACGAGGUUUUUGUUUGUUUGUGCAGGUACUAUGUGACUUGUGUGUAGUCUCCUACUGGAUUGAUACCUUGGUUCUAAAAAACUGAGGGAAAUACUUACGCUACUUUGCUGCAUCACCUUUCCUCUUCAAGGGAAAACCAACGCAUACUCAAGAGGUAGCAGUGGGGAGUGUCUUUAGUGGUAGCCCUUCUUCACAACCGUCGGGGGAGGCAAUUCUCGUUGGUACCUCAAUGGGGUUGGAUGGCGGUGGAUGCGGGUCCAUCUAGACCUUUGUUAUGGCACUAGGUCGGGCAUCAACGCAGGGUUCGGGUUGGGAGCAUGACGAAGAUGGUGUAGGAGGGGCCGACAACUAGAUGGGAGAGGCUGGGGAAGGGGAGGUGGCAUGGGAAGCUCGAGGAGGUAGUUAUUGGUGGCGGUGCGAACUGGCCAUUACGACCGACCUCGAGGGUGACCCCGUUAACCUCAUUGGUACUGUCUGGCGGUUAGUGGGGAGUGUCUUUAGUGGUAGCCCAUCUUCACAACCGCCGGGGGAGGCGAUUCUCGUUGGUACCUCAAUGGGGUUGGGUGGCGGUGGAUGCGGUUCCAUCUAGACCUUUGUUAUGGCACUAGGUCGGGCAUCAAUGCAGGGUUCGGGUUGGGAGCAUGAUGAAGAUGGUGUAGGAGAGGCCGACAGCUAGAUGGUAGAGGCGAUACAACAACGUCGAUGGCCUGCGGUGGAGUGAUGAGUGACAAACAACUACAAGGGAGAGGCGGCGAUAGGGGGGGGGCAUGGGAAGCUCGAGGGGGUAAUUAUGGUGAGGACGAAGAGGUAUGGUAUUAGGGGUCGAUUGGUGUGAUUCGUGGCUUGUUAGAGUGCUCAACAUGACUGAUGCUCAACCUUGGAAGAUCUUGAACCGUUAGAUCACGGGAUUAGAUGGGUGAGAUGUCACUGAUGCCCUUUCUAACAUUGCCAAACACCUAGUGAUCGUAACUUCAUGCAUGGGCCACUCUACAAAUCCUGACCGUCCAGAUACAUACUAUACCCCUCCAUCUCCUGCAACUUGCAGCUCGUAAGGGCAUGGCCAUCCCUCCAGGGUGGACAAUUAUCCCAUAGGUACACGUCGGAUGAGCAACCCGUCUCGAGGAGAAAAGCAGAAACGACCUCUAGCAUAUGAUCCGACUUCCUCGCUGAAAAAGGCAAACGGUAAGGAGGAGUGGAGGAGAGAGCAAUUGUAUUUAUUUGGAUGGAAAGUAAAAAUGUAGUUACAAAGAGAGAUAGGUGGACCACUAGAGAUGUUGCUUGUGUUGGAUGGGGAAUAUUCAUAUUGUGGCCUCACCGUUUUUUUGCUUAGGUGGAGACCGAGACCACGCCUAGGUGAUACCACCAUAGCUCAUGCCCUAAUUACUACCAUGGUGUCAUAAAAAGAAAUAAAGAACAAAAUAAUUCAUUGCAUCCCAUCAUUUAUUCGAACCGGAUCAGGUCGGAUCGCGUCACGACAACAAAGCCUACAACACCACGACAACCCAAAGCCAAUGAUCAAGCUGAACCCAAGUGCCCAACCACUAGCUCUGGCACACAUGUGAUGCGAGCGAGCCCAUUACCUCGUCCCCCGGCCUCCUGCCACCUUCGUAUCCAAAUUGAACUAGAGAGAAGAAGAGAGGAGCCACCACCCGCGCAAGAAGCCCCCCGGCACUAGGGCGGGCAUUGUGCAGGUUUUGGGAUGGGAGCUUGAUGAAGAGGAUGCAGGAGAGGCCGACAAUUAGAUGGCAGAGGCGGCAGAACGACGUAUGAUGGCCUGCAGAGGAGUGGUGAGCGGCCGACAACUAGAGGGGAGAGGAGAGAUGGUGAGCUCAAAGAGGUAGUUAUUAUGAAGACGGUGAGGUACGAGAUUAGGUGUUGACAGGUGUGAUUAGUGGCUUGGCAGUGCGCUUAACAUGAUUGAUGCUCAACCUUGAGAGAUCUUGAACCGUUAGAUCGCGAGGUUAGACGGCCGAGAUGUCUCCGAUGCCCUUUCUAAACAUUGCCAAACACGUAGAGAGCCGUGACUCCAUGCAUGGGCCACUUCACAAUCCAGACCGUCCAAGACACGUAUCGUACCCCUCUGGCAGUCUCCUGCAGCUCGUAAUUACGAGUACCGUGGUGUCAUCAAUCAAUCAAAAGAAAUAAAGAAGAAAUUAAUUCACUGCAACCCAUCAUUUAUCCGGACCGGAUCAGGUCGGAUCGCGCCACGACUGCAAACAAAGCCUACGGCAGCGACCGAGCCGAAGCCGAACCCAAGUGCCCAACCACCAGCUCCGGCACGCACGCGACGCGACGCGAGCGAGCCCAUUACCCCGUCUUCCCCACCCCGCAGCCUCCUGCCCCCUUCGUAUCCAGAUCGAACCAGAGAGAAGAACAGGGGAGCCACCGCCCCACCGCCCGCGCCGCGCACGCCACCGCCCGCGCCACAAGCGCCGCCGCCGCCGCCCCCCGAGGAGGAGAGGAGAGGAGAGGAGAGGGAUCCGGCCCGAAGGUUCCGAGAGAUGGGAGUCCCGGCGUUCUACAGGUGGCUGGCGGAUCGGUACCCCCAGACGGUGUCGGACGCGGAGGAGGAGGAGCCCGUGGAGCUCGAGCCCGGGGCCUUCGUCCCCGUCGACCCGCGCCGCCCCAACCCCAACGGCCUCGAGUUCGACAACCUCUACCUCGACAUGAACGGCAUCAUCCACCCCUGCUUCCACCCCGAGGGCCGGGUACUGCUCGAUUUCCCCCCGAUUCCACGCUCUCCCUUCCUCCCCUAAACCCUCGUCAAGCUAAUGCUACUUGUUUCCCUGCUUAUUAUCGCGCUCAUGGUCCUCUCUCUCUCUCUCUCCCGCAGCCCUCCCCGACCACCUACGACGAGGUGUUCAAGUCGAUUUUUGACUACAUCGACCACCUCUUCUGCCUCGUCCGCCCCAGGAAGAUCCUCUACAUGGCGAUCGGUGAGCUGCUCGCUUGCUUGCCUGCUCUGCUUGCUCUGUGCUAAUGCGGUUUCAUGCUAAGUUGGUUUCGCUAACGUUCCGCUGAACUGCGCAGACGGUGUUGCGCCGAGAGCCAAGAUGAAUCAGCAGCGGUCCAGGCGGUUCCGGGCUGCGAAGGACGCGGCUGAUGCGGUAAGGUUACUGCUAGGGCUUGAUGGCAUUGCCAUUGCAGGCAGCUGUGGCUGUUCUCAUGUUGUUGCUUUGUUCAGGCGGCCGAGGAGGAAAGGCUGAGGCUGGAAUUCGAGGCGGAGGGGAGGAAUUUGGUCCGAAAGGAGAAGUCGGAGGCAAUCGACUCGAAUGUCAUAACUCCCGGGACGCCCUUCAUGUUUGUACUCUCUUCGGUGCUUCAGUACUACAUACAGUUGAGAUUGAAUCACUCCCCUGGGUGGCAGUCUGUCAAGGUGUGAUACUAGCGCAUGUUGGGUUAAUUACUCGCUUUUGUCGUUAUUAUGUUGUAUUAAAUGGGAACUGCAUUGGUUGCAUUUUGUAAGGUAAUAUUGUCGGACUCAAAUGUUCCUGGAGAGGGGGAACAUAAGAUCAUGUCAUAUAUCCGUCUGCAGCGCAAUCUUCCAGGGUUUGACCCAAACACACGCCAUGUCUUAUAUGGCCUUGUAAGUUUACUCGCAAAUUUCAAAGUAGCUGCCAUUUUUGCACCCACCUUUUUACUCAUUUGAUCACCACAUUUUUCAGGAUGCUGAUUUGAUCAUGCUUGCUCUGGCAACUCAUGAGGUCCACUUCUCAAUUUUAAGAGAGGUAAAUUUGCAACAAUUCUUUAUUUAGAACUGUACGCAUGCAACUGACUCUGUCCAAUGCCUCUUAAGUCAAAUUUCACGUUCUUUAUGGUAAUUUAGGAGUACUUCUGUAACUACAGAAUUCAACUGACUUUACAGGUGAUCACCAUGCCAGGGCAACAUGAAAAAUGCUUUCUGUGUGGUCAAGUUGGGCAUUUGGCUGCUGAGUGCCAAGGCCCUGGUCCUGCUGAUAAUGUCGUGGAGCUCCCUCCAAUUCAUAAAAAGAAGUACCAGGUACUCAGAAGCAUGACAGCUUCUGCUCUACUAUUUUUCCUUUUCCUUCUCCUUUCCUUUUGUGUCUAAUGUCUUUUGGGGGAUGCAUCUGAUAAGCAAUUUGUAACUAUAGUCAUUCACUGUGCAACUAUUGACCUUGUUAACAGUUUCUUAACAUCUGGGUGCUGCGGGAAUACCUGGAGAAGGAUCUGGAGAUUGUAGAUCCCCCCUUCAAGAUAAACCUUGAACGCAUCUUGGAUGAUUUUGUGUUUCUCUGCUUCUUUGUUGGGAAUGACUUUCUGCCUCACAUGCCGACUUUGGAAAUUCGCGAGGUCUGUUGAUUUACAGACUUCCCUAUUUUAAUAGGUUUCUUUUUGUCUCACCAGAUAAUUUGAGCUAUGAAGUCAUUAAUUUCUUGUUCUACACUGUAGGGUGCCAUUAAUCUUCUGAUGAAUAUUUAUAGAGCAGAGUUCAAACCAAUGGGCGGUUACCUCACUGAUGGGGGUGAGGUAGAGUUUCUUUGUGCUCAAAUUCUCUUAUGGUUCAAAGAAAAUACCAUUAUCUUUGCUUAAAUAAUUUAAAAAGGAGUAAUAUUGGAUUAUUAUCAGCUUUAGCUGUAAGUUGUAAUAUAAUAAACAAAUUAUUGAGCUGUCCCUGUCUGGUAUCACCUAGAUCCUUUAGGGAAACCAACAGAGAGAGGACAUCCCUGCACAUGUUUUCAUAUUGUAUCAUUACUUUGUAAGAUGCAGUGUAAAAAUUCCUUGAGAUGAAUGAUAGGAGUCAGAUGAACUAACCUGUAAUGGCAGAAUUGGGUUAAUAGAGACAUCAUAGUAAAAUUACUAGAUUGAACCUGAUUUCCUUGUGUACACUUUGAUGAAGCAUCAUGCCUAAUUUUUUUUCCGACUAUGGCUUGAGCAUGAUCAACUGACUGCAUGAUUCCCAUUUUCCGUGAUGCAUUAAAUGCAUUAUUAUUGCGGAGUAGGAACCAUAGCAUCCCAACACUUCCAGUUCACUCUUUUCCUUCUGUACUUCUAUUUUCCCUUGUGUACAGGCUUUUUCUUCCCUGCCAGCACCAUGGUUCUAGGACCACAUCCACCCCAUUCCAAAGAACGCAAUUGUGUAGACGUUAGAAUAUGGGAACAUAAACCUGUUAUUGUUUAAGAAGCUACCAGGUUUUGGCUUUCUUUGCUUGGCCAAUCUUGUGUAACUGCUCAUUAUAGUUCCCCUUGUUUAGCUUGUCUGCCUUACUGUGUGAGGUGGUGGGGGUAUCUUCCCUGUAACCGGAACAAAAAAUAAACCAAAAUAGAUGUGGUUCACUUUAAGCCUGACAUAUUGGCUUGGUGGUAUUUAUAGUUGUCCGAAACCAUGACAUGUUCUUCUUUUUAAUGAAAGGUUUUACUGGAACGAGUGGAGCAUUUCAUUCAGGCUGUUGCUAUCCAUGAAGAACAAAUUUUCCGGAAGCGUGCACGUAUUCAGAAGGUACUUUCUAGCUAUUCUCUAAUCAAAUGCGUUCUUGACUUCUGUAAUGCUACACCUUUGAUCCAUGUUAGUGUACAUGAACCUAUGUAUGUCAUUUCCUGAAAUAACUAUUUUAUGGUGCAAAUGUAUGUCUGGUAUGAAGAUGCUUAGGGCAUUUUAUGCUAACAAGGUCAAGUUACUUGGCCCAGUUCUAAGGUGCAAUUAUAUGCUUUUGGUGAAAUAUAUAUUUGUAUCCAUACGGUGGGAGUCACGAUUCGAGAGUUAAGCUGCAUUGAAAUAGUGAAAGUGGAUUCCAAUAUGCUGCUGCUUUUGAUGAACAAUUCUUACUCGCUAUUCUUGAAUGCCUCCACAUGGAGUGUAGUUCAGCUUCCAUAUGAGCAUAUAUUUAAAAACAAUUUCUAACCUUUUCGGUUCAUGGCAACCUUAGUUUCAACUAAUGAAUGAAGUGCACAAAGUCUGUCCUUUUGUGAUUGCUAUCCCUAAUGACAAUGAAUGGUAUGAUGUUUAAAUUGCAGGCGUACGAGAACAACGAGGAUAGACGUAGAGCGCAGGGAGAGAACUCCGAGGAAAAUCAAUAUGUGGACAUGGUUUGUUUCUCUUCUUGGUUCGUUUCUCUUAUUGUAGUGGGAGAGUGGACUGAUAGUACAGAACUAUUGAUGGUAGAUCAUAUGAAAUCAAGUCUGGGCAAUCUCUCCAAAAGGAGUUUUAGUUUGCUCUAAUCUCAUAUCCAAAUAGUAUCUUGCAUGAUUCCAGAGCAUGGCUGUCUGUCACUAUCUAAGGGUUUCACAAUUGACUAGAACUGUAUGUGGAACAAUGUCUAUAUGUGGGUUGCUUUUCCUAGUUGGUAUUGUAGGUGUCUUUGUAUGCUUCAUUUCGUCUUCUCUUAUAUUACUUUUAGGAGUAACAUUAUGCGCACCACACAAUUUUUCAGAUUACGACAUUUUGGUAGCUCCAAAAUCUGAUAGUAGCAUUUGCUUAAAAUCCAAAGAAUCUGUAAAUAUAAUAAUUUCUAGCGUUUUGGUUUAUGCUAAUUAAAUAGGGAGUGUGGCAGCUUGUGUUACGUAAGUUUUGCCUAUCUUUUAUUUUGCACUGACUGCCCUUCAGGUUAAACUAGGAGAGCCAGGAUACAGGGAGAGGUACUAUGCUGAGAAAUUUAGAGAAGAGGCAGAAUCAAAGCCCAUUGAUCAAGUUCAGAGAGAUGUUGUGAGUCUUCUUGCUAUUCACCGUUGGUUUCUUAAGUGGCACUACUUCAUGAACUUAUCAUCAAGCAUUACCAUACACUAUCAGUCCUGGCGUGCUUCUUCUUUUAUUUGAGUUUGACAUGUGGUAUAUGACUGAAUCUCACAUGCUAGAAAUUGAGUGGUCUAAAGUAAUGUUUUGUUAUCUACAGCACCAUCGCGAAUGUGUCGCCUCUAUGAUUGCAUCAAUAAAAUGUAAUUUAACCAUGUCACAUUUUUUUGCGAGCCAUUAUCGAUGAUUUGUGUUCAACAAUAUUAAGAACACAUUCUUGAUUAAGAUGCCAUAUUUAGUCUUGCAAAACAAUCAACAUUUAUUUUAUGGCAAUGUAUUGACUCCAAUAAACAUCCUGCUGUAUUUGCAAUGGUGGCUGCCAUAUUUCUGAAUAGAUUAAUAAUAAUAAAAAGGGGUCGCACUUGUUUCUAGAAUCAAAACUAAACUUGAUAUAAAUUGUUCCCAGAUUGGGCUUUCAGUUAUAUACAUAUUACAUAUAGGAACCCGAAGUGAUUUUUGACUCGUAGAUCUACGUGUAAAGACUAUAUGCACACUCUCCAGCCCACAUAUUUACAUGCCACAUUAUCCUUGAGAAGCAUGUUGUUAGUUUUAAUCCAUCUGGAUCAGUUGGAGAUGUUCUACUCUGUUGUUAAAAGAUUACCAGGUCUCCUUCAAACAAAAUUUGUAGAGUAGUUGUAGUACAUAUCUGCCUAUUUGUUGACCACAUGCUCUUAACGCUGAUGUUAUCUCUAUCUGCAAUCCUUUUUGUUUAACCUGAUGCAAUCCAUGUUUUCAGGUUCAGAAAUAUGCGGAAGGUCUUUGCUGGGUUAUGAGAUAUUAUUAUCAGGGUGUUUGUUCAUGGCAGUGGUAGGUAAUUGUUGACCAUCAACUCUGAGGAUGCAUAACUACUGUUUUUUCUCCUGGUAGAGAAAACAUCACUUGAUUUUUUUGCAAGCCAUUUUCACCGCUCAUGUCAAUACGUCUUGUUAAAGAUUCUCAAACUCCACGAUCAUACUCGAGUGACCUAUUUAUUGGUUGUAUGCUUGAGACUCAGUUAUCUUAUUAUUUGUAGCAACUCCAUGAUCAUAAUUCUAAAUCAUACUGGAAUCAGUCUAUUGCUAAUUGUUGCAACAUCAUGUGUUGUAACUUGGUAUAAAAUAAUUAAUUCUUGUACAAUUGCCAACCAUGAAAUCCAAAGUGAUUCUUCUUUGUGAUGAUGUCAGGAACAGCUGCUAUUUAUCUGUGGUGCAACAUUAUGCUGCAGCUGUAGAAUCCACGUAGGAGUUUGAAAAGUGAACUUUCUUUUUAGAAUUCAUCAGGGUUAAAAAAACUGGGCUCCUGCCAAAAUUCAGAGUUGAAAACUUGACUUUGUCUCAAUCAUUUAUUAACAUACUUCAUACCCGUCAUGUCCACAUGCAUAGCUGACCAGUUGAACAUAGGCACAUAUAAGUUCUGCAGCUUGGUUGGCAAAGCUAAUGAUCAUGAGUAACCCUUUGUUUGUAAUCAAGUAUGAAGUAUGAACUCUGUUAUUUUUUUAAUUCUUUUCACCUGAAACAGGUUCUAUCCAUACCAUUAUGCGCCUUUUGCAUCUGACCUGAAAAAUUUGACUGAGUUUGAGAUAACCUUUUUCUUGGGUCAACCUUUCAAGCCAUUUGAUCAACUAAUGGGAACACUGCCAGCUGCUAGGUUUGUCAUUUCUCUGUGCUAACGAGCCUAUCCAUAAACAUAUCACGAGUCGUAAGCUGAAAACCACCAUACAUUCUUCAUUUUUUCUGUAGCUCUAAUGCACUGCCAAAGCACUACGGGGAUUUGAUGACUGAUCCAAAUUCACCGUUGAAUUAUUUCUAUCCCAAAGGUACCACCAUCUCUUGCCUAAUGGGGAGUGGAAUUGCUUAAAAAUUACAGUAUAAGAGAUCUCAAAGAUGUAGUAUUGAGGAUAUGAUGUAUCCCUUUUCUUGCGGACCUCAUCAUGCAUUGUUUGGUACUUUGUAUCUUACUCCAUACCACCUUCCUUUUGCAACUGCAGAUUUUGAAAUAGACAUGAAUGGAAAGCGUUUUGCAUGGCAGGUAAUCAAUGAAUGGACGAAUCAGUUUUGCGUCAGGUGUCCGGUUAACUAUAGCUUGGAGAUCUGUUUCUGUUUUUCUUUUCCAGGGUAUUGCGAAAUUGCCUUUUAUUGAUGAAAGGCGGUUGCUUGCGGAGACACAGAAACUUGAAGAUACAUUAACAGUAUGUAGAUUCUGAUCCAUCUUUAUCAAUGUGUUAGUCUUAUUUGUCUUUGACUUCUAUUUUAGGAUCGUUUUGAGUUAACGUGUGCUUUGAUUCUGAUCCUAGGCUUGUAGUUCCUUUUUCAGCUAUUGAGUGUGCUUUGGUUGUUACUGGCUUUUGCAGGAAGAAGAGAGAUUCAGGAAUACGACAAUGUUUGACAUAAUUUAUGUGCGGGAAACUCAUCCAUUGGCUGCUCAGAUUGCAUUCCUGUAUCAGAUGUACUCUCAACAAAUGAUAGCAGAUCCUUCCUAUUGUAUCCCCAUUGACCCUGCUGCUAGGUUGGUAUAUAUACUGCAUAUAUUGAUCUGGAUUGUCUAUUUCUUGAUGGUGCUUUCGCCUCGAUAUUUAUUUACAAUGUUGGUAUAUUGGCUCCUGGUUUCAGUGGCGGAAUGAAUGGAUUUCUUUGUUUAUCUCAAAGAAAUUGGUACAGCAUCUCUGUAGGAUCUCCAGUUAAGGGCUUCAAUGGCAUCACCAAUAACCGAGUUUUGUAAGUAUCAUAAGAUGGAAAAGCACAUUGUAAGCCAAAUGUGACCAUCAAAUCUUUCAAGUGUUAUAUUAUUCUUUUAUUGUUUUCCAGGAAUGCUACCUAUGUUAACCCUCAGUAUCACAAACACAUCCCGGAGCCUCCAGAGGGUGCCAUUAUACCUCCAAAGGUAUUUACUAACCCUAUCUGCAAUUUUUCCCAUUCGAUCCAAAAAAUGGAUUGGGUUCCGUUAUCAAGGGAUAACAGAACAGACACAACAAAAAUCCAUCCUUAAGCUGCCAACAUAAUAAGUUCUGAACAACAGAAUAAAAAAUGAAAAGCAGCUAACUCAUACAACCAGGCUGAACCAAACUGCCAACAGCGGGCCCCUGACAAGCUCAAAACUCGAAAAAACAUAUUCCAGCAUCCCAUUUGUCUGGGCUGAUCAUAGUUCUCCAGAUGAAUCUUUAGCAGCAUAACAAGACCUGGCCUCCAGAAGAUCACAACCUUUUUUUAUGCAUCAUCCUCCUGCUAACCUUGUGCGCGUUUAGCUUGAUAAUUAAUACUUAUUGGUGAUAAUUAAACAUAAACAUAUUUAGUUUCUUGGUAUUAAUAGCAUAAUCAUUUCUAGCUCAGCCUUUUAAACUUCUGCCUUGGAUGGUAAAUGGAGGAAUUGCUAACAUGACUCAGCUAAGUGUGUAAUGAGUGGUGACGAGUUUUCUUGUGCCGCCUCCUCGGCCUCAUGCAAUUUGGCAUUCUUUUUUGACUCUGCAUUGCCUAGGAGAUGUUACUUUGAUCAUUAUUUUUCUACAAUACUUUCAUGUUCCCAAAAAGUAUAUAUUGGAUGAACCAAUUUUUAUUUAAUUAUUUUCAUGCAGUGACAUGGAUGAAAUACUUUUUUAUACUGUACUGUACUAUUCAAGGAUAAAGUUGUCUGUAUGCAAGCCACAGUAACUUAUCUAUACCAAUAUAAAAAGACCCAAAGGGGCAGAUCCAACUGAUCUCGGCCAUCGAACUAAGUCAAUCCAACGACCUAGACUGCUCCAAUGGCGAGCGUUAAAAUGUGUUUAACGUGCAAUUAAUAUCAUACCAAAUAUUGCACUAAUAACAGGAUUAACACACAAAAAAUAGCAUACCUAAUAUCCGCGUGCAAUUAAUAUAUUGCCUAAAUAUUUACGUGCAUUGCACGUGUGCAUUUACUAGUAUGUGAAACAAAAGGAGUAUCAUAUUUUUUUUGUUUGCUGGAAAAGAAUAGUUUAUUGUCUUGGAUUGGUUGACCACUGUUCAUUUUCCCAAUUCAAAUAUAUGGUCUUUCUUUUGUUGAGAUAAAUCACUGGCCAACAUAGUGUACCAUUUUGUAGAUAUUGAAACCUUACGAUUUCAAACCUUUCCCUGUGUUGUGGCAUGAAGAUAAUAGUCGGCGACAGACACGAGACAGGUAUGGUUACCAUUUCAUAUGUUCUUAGCGGAAACUGUUGACACUACUUCUGCAUUGAGUACGGCGUAUAGAUUACUGGAGUACAUCCUAUUCUAUCGGAUGGAAGAUUAAUACACAUCUUAUUCAGGACACAAAUAAUGGCAAACUGAUAAAAAUCCUUUCUCUUUAGCUAUAGCCUGGCUAAUUGAUAAAUUGUUUGCUUAUCCGUUUCAAAAAUAAAUUGUUUGCUUUCAUUGUGAACGUUGUACCUUUUCUCUUUAGCUGUAGCCUGGCUAAUUGAUAAAUUGUUUGCUCUCAAUGUGAACUUUGUACCUUUUCUCUUUAGCCGUAGCCUGGCUAAUUGAUAAAUUGUUUGCUCUCAUUGUGAACAAUUUGAUAAUUCCAGGCCUCAGGUGCAUGGAGCUCUGACAGGUUCUGUCUUAGGAGAGGCUGCACACCGUCUACUGAAAAAUUCCCUGCAGAUCAAAUCUGGCAGCUCUGCUGGGCUGCUUCAUGUUCCAUACGGAGCAGCACCCUAUGGCCCUGGAAACAGAGCAAGGCCCUCUGGACCUUUGGGAUAUGAGAGGGGUUUUGUGGACAACCCAUACCAUGCACACAUGUCCAGAAGCGCUCCAAAUCCUCGGCCUCAGUUCUUUGGUGAAGCUCAAGCCAACAGACAGAAUGUGCGGAUACUAGAGCGGCCAAACAAUCGAAACAAUGAUGGUGGCAUCCAUUCAGGGAUGUCAAAACUGACGAUUCAAGAUGGGCCAAGAAUGCAUCAAAAUCCCAGGAUGCAGAGUCCUGGAUAUUUUCCAAACCAGCCAUAUCCGAAUCAGUAUGGUGGGUUCCCACCCCAGCGGCCCAUGCAGAACGCCAAUUUUGCACCGCAGCGACCUUUCCAAAAUGCACCAUUCCCACAGCAGCGGCCUGUUCAGCAGCGGCCUGUUCAAAAUGCUGUAUUCCCACAGCAGAGGCCUGUUCAAAAUGCAGGAUUCAUGCAGCAGCAGCAGCAGCAGCAACCAGUGAACGGGGUUCCCCCACCACUACCUCCCAGCACUUGGAUCGGCAAGCAACCAAGCGGAGGCCAGGCUGGUACACCUGCCAAGCAGCAGGACCCAAGGGCAAAUAGACAGCCUAAGCAGGAUAAUAGACAGCCAAAGCAGGAUAACCUGAGAUCACAGCAUGAGAGCAGACAGCAGGCUGCCAAGGUGGUAUACCGUGUCAAAGGCCAAGCUCCCAAUGGCUUGCCAGAGUGAAGAUAAUAACCAUGAAGAACCCGCAAGCAGAGUGAUUCACCGAACUGCUGCAAGAUGAUGAUCUGUUGUGUUCCAUGUGCACGGGCAAUGCUGCUACAAGGAGGUUCAUUCAACUCAACAUACUCCUGGAAGCAGCCGUAGGGAUUUCUUGCUAUGCCGGCCGCUGUUAAUUUAUCGUCCCAUUGCUGCACCUGUUGUAUCCCCGUCUGAAUGGAGUUGAACUGUUGAUGAUCAGGUCGAGUGGAGUUGACCUGCUGUAUCGCGCUGAAUGAUAUAGGGCAAUGAUUUAGAAAAAAAAAACGUUAUCAAGUCGUUAGGACAGAACGUGAGCAGAGGGCAACCACUGCUGUUGUAUGCCUGUAACCCUGAAACCGUGUUUGUGCGUAACAACUGCCCUCGCCGGUGGCAAGGCCUGACUGAACCCCAUCAUUCCUUAGUGCGUUUGGACAGGACUGGCUGUUGCUGCCGCCGGGGUGUCGGGUCUCGUGUGAAGUGUGGCGACUGUUGCCGUGGUAACUUUGUCUUUUUUUUUUCGAAACGGAGUAACUUUGUCUUUGAACUCUGCUGUACUAGCACCACUAUAAAUCUGCCUCCUGCUGGUGCGUGAGAAGCACUAGCACUUGGGUUGUUUUUAUUUUAUAUGCAGUUCACACGAGAGGACCAGGCCAGCGUUACUCACCACCGGACGUCGGUGGGACUUCCGCCUACCAGUGCGCUGGUUAGUGGUAGGAGUCGUCAGUGGAAAGAACGAAAAAAACACACACACACAAAGUACUACAGCGAAAUCAGAAUUAGUACCAGUUUUAGCAUAUCCAACAACAAGUUCAAGGGAUUAUUAGGCUAGAUAGAUUUCAUGAUUAGCUACUGAUAGGUUGGUGGGCAGAAAGAAAGCCUAGAAAACGCUAGCCCCGCGCAAUAAUUCACCCCUGCCGCUGUUCCAGAGCAGAGCCGGAAUGAAUCGCCUCGCGUGCUCCUCCGCAAAGGCCCGACCAACCCGCACUGUUCCACUGCAUCUCACGCCACGCCUCCAGCUUUUCCUCCCCCGGAAAACCUCUACGCCGCGCUCGCCCAGCCCGUCUCCCCUCCAGGCGGGCCCGGCCCCACCCCCGGCCGGCGUCGGCCGAUGGGUACCAAAGCGAGCGAGACCCAUCCCUCCCGCGGGCGCGUCCUCACAUCGCACACACUUGUCGUCCCCUCCCCGCCNNNNNNNNNNNNNNNNNNNNNNNNNNNNNNNNNNNNNNNNNNNNNNNNNNNNNNNNNNNNNNNNNNNNNNNNNNNNNNNNNNNNNNNNNNNNNNNNNNNNNNNNNNNNNNNNNNNNNNNNNNNNNNNNNNNNNNNNNNNNNNNNNNNNNNNNNNNNNNNNNNNNNNNNNNNNNNNNNNNNNNNNNNNNNNNNNNNNNNNNNNNNNNNNNNNNNNNNNNNNNNNNNNNNNNNNNNNNNNNNNNNNNNNNNNNNNNNNNNNNNNNNNNNNNNNNNNNNNNNNNNNNNNNNNNNNNNNNNNNNNNNNNNNNNNNNNNNNNNNNNNNNNNNNNNNNNNNNNNNNNNNNNNCCCUUUCCCUUUCCCCAUCGCAAACUCCCCCCGCCCGCAGCUAGGGUUCCGCGGAUCCCCGCCCAGCUAGGGUUCCCCGCCGGCCCCAUCCAUGGCCGCCGCGGCGGCGGAGGAGGCGGCGCCGGGCGCCGACGCGAUCAUGGACGGCUUCGCGGAGCUGGAGCGGCAGCAGGAGCUGCUGGCCAGCUGCACGCGCCUCUACCAGCAGCUCACCGAGCACUUCGGCUCCCUCGAGCGCGGCAUCAAGUCCCGCUCCGACUCGCUCCGCGCCAGGCGCCGCGUCGUCGAGCUCCGCGCCUCCCGCCGUCUCGACGCGCUCCGCCGCCGCGAGCUCUCCAUCGACGCCUCCGUCAAGCUCGCGCUCUCCCGCCUCGACGCCCUCGCCAAAUCCCCCGCGCCCAAGCGCGACCGCGAGGACGGGGACGGGCCACCGUCCCCGCCCCCGCCGCCGCCGUCGGACGACGUCGCCGAGGGCCUCGCCGCGCUCUGCGCCGCCAUGGACCCCGCGGGCUUCCUCGCCUUCGUCGUCGAGCGCCGCAAGGAGGUGGACGCGCUCCGCGCCGAGCUGCCCGCCGCGCUCCAGCGCUGCGUCGACCCGGCCAGGUUCGCCAUGGACGCCGUCUCCGAGGUCUUCCCCGUGGACCGCCGCGCCGUCCGCUCCCCCACCGACCUCGCCUGGGCCUGCGUGCUCAUACUGGAGGCGGUCGUGCCCGCGCUGGCCGACCCGGACCCGGAGAUCGGGGCGGCGCGGCCCAUGGUGCCGCAGGCCGCGCGCGACAGGGCCCGCGGCAUGGCCGCCGAGUGGAAGGAGGUCGCCGAGCGCAAGGGCGGGGUGGAGGGCGCCAAACCGCCCGACGCCCAUGCCUUCCUGCAGCACGUCGCCACCUUCGCCGUGGCGGAGAAGGAGGACAAGGAGCUGUACAAGAGGAUUGUCCUCAGCUUCUCCUGGCGCAGGCAGAUGCCACGCCUUGCUCUCACGCUUGGCCUCGAGGAUGACAUGGAAGGUAGUACUUAAUUUCUCUCCACAUUUCAGCUCUUUUAUCUCCAGAUGCUCCCUAAAAUUAAAAUGAUGAGCUAGUUGUUAGUAGACGCAGCGCAUAAAAUUGGCUAGAUCCAGCGUUUAGAUGCUACUUACUACGGUUCGCUCAGGAGGGUGUGGAUUAGGUUAGUAGAUAAGAUUUAUAUUCUUUCAGCAAGUCUUAUCGAACUGGUAAUUCAUAAGCCACAUGUGUGGUGUAGCGAUGUUUGGGUUAUUGCUGGGAAUGCAGUUCGCGUGUGCAUAGUUGCCAUAUGUGUGUCCUUACCGGGAUGAAUUGUCACUGUCGUAGCAAGUGUUGGGAAACGUUACAGUCUUUCAAGGUCAGUAUGGCCGGCACCAUGGACCACUCUGGCUAUUGCAAUCGGGUGAGUGGUGCCUCAGUGAUUGCCUUGGUGGAUGGGCCACCAAGUACCAUCCUCUGUAUUUUGUCUGGAUUCUUAUCCUUAUACUAGUUCUAUGCUAUUAUUUCACCAAACGAGCUUUAUAACCAUUAGUAGCAGAGUGUCAUGUGGAUUCCCUGGUUUUGCCAUGCAUUGUGGUUUCAAUUGAUAAGCCACAAGUGGGUUGCUGUGGUGUAGCCAUGUUUGGGUUAUUGUUGGGAAUGCAGUCCGCCUAUGCAUAGUUGCGAUAUGUGUGUCCUGUACCUGGAUGAAUUGUCACUGUCGUAGACAAGCGCUGCGGAACGGUACAGUCUUCCAAGGGCAGUAGUAUGGCCAGCACAACGGACCAUUCUGGCUAUUUUUCUAAAAAAUACAUCAAGAGUGGUGCUUUUUUUCCGAUAAAGUGUGAUGCUUUUUAUUGAAACAUGCAACACUUGUGUAAUCUCAGUUAUCCAGUAAAUGCUUUUUUUACUGCAUGAGACUUGCCUUGUUGGGCUGUUGUGACCAUUUCAGUUGGCCUGAUCAUGUAUGCGUGCUGCUGGCGCUUUGUACAUUAGUAAUCACUUUGUAGGUCAUUCUUUUCAAGUGAGUUUGUUAAGAAUUUAAGCUGUCUUAUCUGACCUGAAUCGUGUUUGCAGAAAUCAUUGAAGAACUUAUCACAAAGGGGCAACAACUUGAUGCCGUGAACUUUGCCUAUGAGGCUGGUCUUCUGGAAAAAUUCUCCCCAGUCCCUCUUUUGAAAUCCUACCUAGAGGAUUCUAAGAAGAUAUAUUGCACUUCAGAUAAUGUGAGCACCAGCAGUGGCCAAUCUGGGGUAAGACUAGUAGUAAUACUGAAUUCAGUGUCGCAUGCCUGAAAGUCUACAAGUAGUCUGUCAACAGGGCUUUCUGAAAGAUAUACAGAUGUUUGCUUGUUGCAGCUAUAUUCCAGUUUACCUCUGUUUGCUAGUAGCUAGCAUUGUAUUUUAAUUCUCCGUUGUGGCUUUGGCGAGGAUCUUCUGCCUGCUCUGUUUCUCGUACCAAAUUAGGGUCUAAUAUUGCGUCUCUUGUAGGUCAAUGCAAACAAGAAGGAGCAGUCUGCGCUUCGGGCUGUUAUAAAGUGUGUUGAGGACCACAAACUCGAAGCUGAGUUUCCAUUGGAGGAUCUCCGGAAACGGCUGGAAGAUUUGGAGAUGGCAAAGACUGAGAAGAAAAAGGCAGCGUCGAGUUGUUCCAGUGGCGGCCCAGCAAGCAAGCGCAUCAAAGGGAGCACCGGGGGAGCAAUGUCCCCUUCCAAGUCUGGUCGUCUAAGCGACAACACCGGUGCACCAUCUUCCCCCGCCACCGCCACCAGCAGCAGCACCGCCACCGCAUUCAUCGGCUCUCCAGCCUCCCAUGUCUCCUACGGUACCGGAUCUCCCUACUCUUAUGAUAGGUCAGCUGGGCACGCCCUCUACUGUGGCCAGAGCCCACUUCCAAUGAGGGAGCCAUAUGCAUACCCACCUGCGGUGCCGGUGCCUAAUGUUGGCCUUGGAAUGCCAUACCAAGCCCCUCCCAUGACCUACCCCAUCUACCCUGGAUACAACAGCGGCCUGGGAGCCUAUGGCAAUGCCAUGGCCCCAGCCUUUCACCAGGCUUACUACCGGUAGAAUCAGUCGGAAAUGACCAAAUGACAAGAGCCGAUGGCGACGACGGGGCUUCGUCAACGGUGCCCUGUUUUGUAGCGACUGACUACAAUGGUAGGUUGCGUACGUCCUUAAUACAUCACUACUAGGUGCUUAUGUUACUUCGUUCUGUCCGGUUAUUAGCACUCAUGUUUACUUUCGCACUGAGAACUGAAAAACUGAAUGUAAAUUUAGUAUGGAUGCCGUGUAUGUGGACCUUGUGUUGUAAUUCCGUUUAAAGCACUAGGCGAAAAACCAAAAAAAUAUAUAUUAUGCAUGUAAUCCUCGAGCAUUGACUAUUAAUGUCUUCUGUUAGCUAUACUUAUGAUGGGGCGUUGGUCAUUAUUUCUCUCUGAUUAUUGCAUCUGUGUGC
rnacentral:lncRNA from 1 species